rnacentral:lncRNA from 1 species
CAAAAUCUAAAAUAGACAAAGGCCAACAUCUCAUUUUGUCAAGAGUUGUGGGACAUACAACUGGAAUUAAUAUUCGUUUACAAUUCUUCUGCAGCUAAGACCAACUUGUUCAAUCUUAAACCAACAAACUUGUGGUUCACCGUCCUCCCAAGGCUUGAGAUAUACACACCAAUAGAGCCUCCAUCGGCCUCACUAGCGGAAAAGACUAUCGAGAAUCUAUAAAAUUUCCAAACUUACAAUUUAGUGGAAGACUAUUGACUUAGGUCACAAAUUCACAAUGUUUGUUGUGAGAUUUACUAUUACACAAAUUUUGCUUCGGCCAAAACACUUCGUCUUGGGGAUUUUACCUUCUGUUAUUUUAUUUUUGGCAAAUAAUUUUUCGUUCUGUUAUUGAUGAUGAAGACUGAAACUUCCUUAUCAAUUGGUGCAACUAAAUAAGAACAAUCAAUAUAGCUAUUGCACGGACACUCCACACCCCUAGAUCCACACCCCUAGAGUGUCGGAGUGUCAGACACUCCGACACGCCGACACGGCAAAAUACGUGUCCGUGGCGUGUCCGAAAAAGUUGACUUUUCGGACACGUCUCGGACACGUUGACCGGCCCUGACACGGCAUUGCGACACGCCACAUCAGCAUUUCAAAUUUUUUUUUUNNNNNNNNNNNNNNNNNNNNUCAACCUCCCUCCAGACAUGAACAUCAUCUCCUCUCCUUCAUAGGUCUCAUACUCUAAUUAUUGCCUCUCAUCAGCUUCAUCUCCUUUCUUCUUCUUCUAUUUUAUGCUUCUUUUUUACUCUUCUCAACCGACCUUUUGAUUUCGCCGAUGUCGGUGUUCUGCAAAAUAUUGAGAUCGCCAGAAUGAUUGAGUGUGCCCCGCCGGAGAACAUGAAUCUAUCCUGAAAGCAUGGGCUAUUCUAGAGAUAACCCGUUCCAAUAAUCUAUUUGGAAUCAAAAAGGAAUUGAACUUUAAUUAAUUUGUUGGUUCAUUGAUUCUGUAUUUCUGUUCGAAUUCCAGUUGUGUUGUAAUCUGGUUGUUUCAAACACCAGAUAAGUAUGAUAAAUCCAAGUCCCAUACUAAUCAAGUCUGGUUGUGAUGUCAAUCUAAACUAGUCUCCUCAUACUGAGUAUAGAAAUCAAUUUUCUGUUCUUUGAUUCAUAUCAGAAGUCAUGAAGAUGAGAAAAAGAAAAGAAGAAAAGAGGAUUGCAGAUCUGGGUAUCUAUCAACCCCUCUUAAAAUCUGCAGAUCUGGGUUUGAUUUUUUUUUUCUUUUUUCUUUUUCUGACGGCAAGAGAAAAGAGGUGGAGAAUUAUGUUAGUUUGUUGUUAACUGACAAUCAGACAAGUCAAAAUUUCCACACGGCAACAUCUUAUAGGUAAGGAGAACCACUAGACAAUGCCACGUGUUCUCCGGGAGCAUUGGAAAAAUUUCUCGUGGGUAAUGCUCACUGCUCAAUUCCGAUCGAUUUGGAACAGAAUUGACAGAAUAAAAAAUGAACUAUCUACCCUUUUUUGUAUUGGAAUUUCAUGAUAAUGAUUAACAAGAUCACAUAGUUAAUCACCAACUAAUGGUGUGAGUUUCAUUGCUGGACUUCACAAUCGUUCUGUCUUUUAACCUGAAAUAACAUGUACAAAAGCACAAACAGUCAGCUCCAUCGAUGAUUACCAGAGUUCAAGACUACAUAAUUAGCUCAACAUGCAUAUACAGAGUUAAUUAAAGUCAUACAGAACCAGCAGAGCAGACAGUCUUUGCAUAGUAGCAGCAAGCUAGCAUUAUAAAACUCUAAAGCUCGGAGAAUAUAAGAGUUAGAUACAUCCGAGGUGAUCGAUCUAGAAUAACUUAGAAAAAUAUAAAUAUGGAUCGAGAAUAUUAUUAUUUACCUCCAAAUAUAAAAAUCUACAGAGAAGAGAAGUGGUGGCCGGUCUCAGCCCUCGGGUCACAAGACUCACAACAAGUGCCGGCCUGAGCGUUGGCGUUGGAAGGACGUACUGAACAAAACACCAUCAUCAAGUCAAAGAAAGAAAGAAGAAGAAGUCAGUUUUAACGCAAACCGCUUCGGACUCUUCCAGAAGCAUAAGAAUAAGAAUGAAGAAGAAAACUACACCUACGACAAAACCCUAUUUCAUAUAUAUAAACAAAAGCUUUGAAUUUCUUGUAAAUUAUUUGCAGCACAUGAUCCAUGAGAUCAUGAGAGUUACUGUACGUGAAUAUAGAAAUGGAGAAAACACUGGCAGAAUGCAUAAGAUAAUGAAGGAAGAGAAGUCAGAAUUAAGGAAUAGAAAAGUAUACCUGCAGUUCUGUGGGACUGUCCACGAGGGCAUAGUUGUUGGAGUCGUUGUGGAAUUAGAACUAGGACUACUGGAAGACAAGGAAGAAGAAGAUGAUGAAGAAGGAGGCAGUGCCAUGUAGUUUCUCCAAUCUUGUAGCAGAAUUUUGAGGUCAUUGACUUUGUUAUCGAGACCAACGCAGCAAUUAGCAUGCAUUGUGCAAACCAGGUUAAGAUCUUUACUGGGUUGACAGAAGCCGCCAAAGUACUUGGUGUCCAAGAAUCUCAUUUUCAAUCCGAUGGUGGUGAUGAAGGGAUCAGAUUUGAUCUUGUUGAGGACGUCCUGGUCGUGGUUGUUUGGAUAAGCCUGCCUUGAGAAGUACCAAAAGUUGUAGAAUUUGGUGGUUCGUUUAUUAGAGAUUACAUAGGUAAAUCCUCCGUUGGGAAGGUUGUUCACAUCGUAAGAAUCGCCUUGGAAAUAGUCACAGGCAAUUUGGAAGUCUGCAUCUGGGAAGAAUUUUGGGAAUGGAUCCCUAAGCCACAUUAUGUCAGUGUCCUACAGAUGGUAACGAACAAAGGGUUAGUAUCGCAAAUGGUAAUUGCUCGAAACUAAAUGCCACUCCAACAUUAAGGACUAGUAUACCGUGAAGACAAAGCUGUAUCCUUUUUCGAGAAUGAAAGUCAAAAACUGGAUUCUUCUCCACAUCAUGUGCAAGUAAUCGGAAGACAUGAAGGCUGCCUCGCUGGUGAAGUUGGCACCUUCAGUGUAGAGUUGGUAGCAAUGUGGGUGAAGAGCCACGCAACGAGCGUAUGCUUUUUGGUCCAAGCAGAUCACUACCAGAUGCUUCAGUAGUCUUUUCGUGUUGUUUCCGAUACGAAAGCUCUCGAGAAACAGAUCGAAUAUGGAGUUGGGUUCUGCCCACGCAUCAUUCAGUGUUGUGACGAUUAUGGUCUUGUCCUUCAUGGAUGCAUUUCUCAGAACUGCAUCCAAGGAAUCCUGUAUCAUCAUCAUUAUUCAUGUUAAUAUUAGACCUUCAUUCAGAAAGAAAUUUAUCCACCAAUGAUUCCUCAUAGUUCUGAUUCAUAUAUGUGUGAUGCCACCAAUCAAAUCAAAUCAAAUUGUUGAUCGAGUAUAUUCCCUCAAUCCCUCUAGGUUUGAUAAUGACUUAAUGGGGGUCAGGGCCCGGAAGAGAGAAGAAACAAAGACAGAACAGCCAUACAACUUGGUCCGGAAAAAGUAGUUUCUCUUUUGGAUUAGUUCAGCAUACUUCAAAAUUAAUCAGAAAAUUAAUAGAGUUCUAAAGUUACCUAUCCACUAAAACAGAGGAAGAUAAAACAUCAAAACAGAUAAGGCUAAUCCAAAUUUAACAACAUGAGAGAUUUACUCAAAACCCAGAACAAAAAAAACAUGGAACUAUGAACAGUGAAAUUAGAUGAAAAUUAAAAUGCUUAGAUGAAGAUCAGAAAGCAUACUGAAGCAUACUGUUCUGGGUGAAUUUGUAUAAAUACAUAAACAUUCGGGUUUGAAAAGGUCCAUAUUAUUAUUUUUUUUUUUCUUUGGAGAAGUCCUACUCUGUUCCAUGAGUCUAUAAUAGAAAGUCCCCUGCAAUUCUGGAGGAUCUUCAUGAAAUAUAUCAGCAAUUUGGAAGAACACAAUAUCAAGUAUGAUCAUACGUACACAUAUAUAUAUUGCCAGAACGUUUGCAGUUAUGGCAUAUAUAUGACAACUAAAAAGAUGAAACGAAUUGAAGGAAAUAGAAGUAUUGAGGAGGAGAAUGAAUAUAUAUACUGGCCUGAGAUUUAGCUGAGAACAAAGGAUCAUAAUAAGAUCCACCGCCGGGGAAGACACAGAUAUAGAAGAGAAGGGAAACCAGAGUAACAGCAACACACACCGUAGCAAUCUUUAUAAUCUUCCUGACCAAUCCAUGAUGAUGAUAACUGUGAUGAACACCACCAGCCUUUGGUGUUGCAGCUGUAGUGUUAUGAAGAUUCUCCAUAACACUGGUACUGUUAUGCCCAAUAACUGUUACAGAUACCAGUGCUGAUACUGGUGAUAAUGAUUUACUGCUCAUGGUGCUUGAUAAUCUAGCCUCCUGGAGAAUAAGAUAUAUAAUGCAAAAACCAAAAACUAGUCUGGUAACAGUUUCGGGGUUAUAUAUAGUUGCUUUGUUUCCUUCCUAGUCAGGCCAUAUUGCUUUCCUGCUUUGUGGUCAUCAAACUAAUGAUAAUAAUAAUUCUACUUCUAGAAAAAAAUAUUAGUACUAAUCUUGUUUUAUAUGUUUUGUUUACAAGUCAACUUGGUGUAUUAGUAUUACACUAUUACCUGUCUAUCUCUAUGGGCCUGAUCCUUCUGGCUUCUCCUCUUAAUUACAAUAAUCAUAACAGUUACCAGACUAAUACGUCAAGAAUCAAAAAAUUAAAUCAAAAGUUAUGAUGAAGGUUGAAAACAGAAGCUAGCUGAAAGGGUACUAGGUUUUAUAUAUGCAAACAUUCAAAGGUAGGCUGCAGGUGACGUCGAUUCAUAUACAUACGCAUACGCGUAAUACUAGUUGCAUUAUUGAAGCUGUCCAUUAAUUCUUUCUUGUAAGAUCAUAGGGCCCUAAAUCAUACCAUACCAAUCAAAUAUAUAUGCCAUGUCUCUUAGUCUAGCUUGUUUGUGUUGUCAAUGUGAUAGUGUGUGGCCGCUGUUGAUGCUAUUAGAGAAAGCGAAAAUUAUUCCCUGCACCAGUCGGAUAGCUGCACCAGGCAUCAGAACCGGACGUUAGUUGCCGUUUGGAGACUUUUAGGCGGGCGAGUGAGAGUGGAGAAAGGGGAUGUAUCAAUCAUCACCCUUUUCUUAGCUCCUCCCUCUACUGAGUCUACUCUCUUCUCUAAAAAAACCACACACCGGCCUCAUCAACCAUUCUUGCACCCUUUUUCCUUAGAUGAGCGCCGGCUGCGCCGCACACCAUUCAUCUCCCAUUUCAUCCACCAAGAGGAUGGAAGCGAUCCUCAUCUUCUCAUGGACGAGAGCCACAUUACAAACCCCUCCCCUGCCUCUUCGUGCUUUGAAGAUGCAUCCUCGUGUUUGAUUUCACCAAGAAGAACCUCCCCCAGAUUUGCACUGUUUUAAAUUUGUUUAGGCUAGUAGUAGUCCUGGCCUCCUGGGAGUUGUGUCUUUGUAGAUGAGAAUUUGUUCACUCAUAGAAAGUGGAUCCCCGGGGCGGAAAUCACGGGGAGCAACGCCGGGAAGAUAUAUAGAAGCGGUGGGCUGCGGAGGAGAUGAGGAGGAGCACGGUGGUUAUUAACAAGGACGAACGGCCGGAGAUCCGGGUCUUUUUCUUUUGGUUCGAUUUCAAAGAUGGGGCAGAAUGUGUUCUUUUUGCAUAAAAGUUCACACAACAGAAUUGGUUUAGUUUACCAACUAAUCUCUAGGGCUCAUAUUGGUAGGUAUAUCAACUCUAUUUUUCAAUACCAUGUACCAACCAACUUAAAAUUGGUAAGUAAAAUCUUGUACCAAAACUAACCGUCAAAGUUGGUAUACCAACUUAGUUGGUACAGUUGGUACUCGGUUGAUACGGUUGGUAUUGGACCUCUACCAAGUUUAGAUUGAGACCCAACAAACUGAAAGACCCAGCUCAUUUAAAUCCUUUUUUUGGGCCUAUACCAAACUUCUAUCAAUUAUCAAACUAUUCAAAGUUCAAACACAUUCAAAGUUUCACACAUCAUAUAAUUUCAAAUGCAUAAACAAGCAAGAUCAAAACUUCAAAAGUUCAAAUGCAACAAGCCAACAACAUCCAAAGUCUUAUACAAAAAAUUAAACAACACAUGUCCAAUGAAAACACAAAAGUCCUGAUUAGCAGGGAAAGAGUGAUGCUGCGAGGCCGGGAGAGUGCUAGACUGCUAAACACCAGUCUGGACAGAGGUGUUACUUGGUGUGUUUCUUGCUGCCUCAAAGCCUUGGACAAAAGCAUUCUUUGCAAACACAACAAAAAAAAAAAAAAUAUAUAUAUAUAUAUAUANNNNNNNNNNNNNNNNNNNNGUUUGUAGUGUCCAAGCCGUGUCGGAAACUCAGUUUUUGAGUUUUGCCGUAUCGCCGUGUCCGUGUCCGUGCAACUCUGCGGUAGCUAGCACUUUGGUUAUCUCUUACUCCGAAAUUACCUGAAAAAUGGUUGUGGAUAAUGGAGAAAUUUUUCAAUGCUCCCGGAGAACGAGAAAUUUUUCAGUGCUACGGGAGGACCACGUGGCAGUCUGACGUGGUCCUACUUUCCAAUCGAAUUUAGACAUGUAGAUUUUCUUCACGAAAAAUUAUUUCAGCUAUUUUGUCAAAGACCAUUUUAGGUUUUCUGUUGUUUUUUAAUACUAAACCCUAAGCCCUAAACCUAUACCCUAAACCCUAAACCCUAAACCCUAUACCCUAAACUCUAACCCUAAACUUUAAACCCUAUAUCCUAGACCUAAGUUUGAACUUGCUAAAUACCCAUGAAUGUCAUUUCACAAAAAAUAGAAAAUAUUUGUUUAUAUUUUAGUUAUAAAAAUCCACAUGUCUAAAUUCGAUUGGAAAGUAGGACCACGUCAGACUGUCACGUGGUCCUCCCGUAGAAUUUAAAAAUUUCUCCCGGAGAACCAUGUGGCAUUGCCCGGUGGUUCUCCAUACCUAUAAGAUGUUCCCACGUGGAAAUUUUGACACCUAUGAAUAAUAAAUUAAACGCUUAAACUCUGUCGUUAAGGUUGCCGUCAUACAGUGCAAAGACAUCUAUCGCUACUCCAGUUUCAAUACGUUCUUAUCUGUUCUUCAACCUCCCUCCAGACAUGAACAUCAUCUCCUCUCCUUCAUAGGUCUCAUACUCUAAUUAUUGCCUCUCAUCAGCUUCAUCUCCUUUCUUCUUCUUCUAUUUUAUGCUUCUUUUUUACUCUUCUCAACCGACCUUUUGAUUUCGCCGAUGUCGGUGUUCUGCAAAAUAUUGAGAUCGCCAGAAUGAUUGAGUGUGCCCCGCCGGAGAACAUGAAUCUAUCCUGAAAGCAUGGGCUAUUCUAGAGAUAACCCGUUCCAAUAAUCUAUUUGGAAUCAAAAAGGAUUGAACUUUAAUUAAUUUGUUGGUUCAUUGAUUCUGUAUUUCUGUUCGNNNNNNNNNNNNNNNNNNNNAUAUAUAUAUAUAUACACAGGAAUUACGAUUAUAUAAUAACACAACAACACAAUACUUGAUUGGACACAACACAACAACACAACAACAACACAAUACACAGGAAUUAUGAUUAUACAAUUAUGAUGAUCCCAACUCUCAAAAUCAUAUAAAUGUUAUGUUUCAUAUCAAUAAUCAGUAGUUUGAUAUAGAUCAAGUUAAUGACAUAGUAUAAAUUUUUAUAUAAUUAGUUGUUUGAUAUAGUACAAGUUAAUGACAUGUACCACUCUCAAGCUCCUCCAAAUCAAGGUAAGGUGUAAAUGAUGGUGCUGCUGGCAAAGGUGGCAGAGAUGUUGUUGAUGGUGAAGCAUGUAAACCGGCAGUCAUCUCCUCAUUUGCAACAGAUGGAAAUGAUGGUGUUGAGCUUGAAUUACCUAUACAACCACUCUGCGACAUGAAAGAGUCCAUAGCCUAUGCGAAACACAACACAGAUCAUUGAUUAUAGAUAGCACAAAUUGUACAAACACAAAUUAUAGAUAGCUCAACAUCAUUGAUUAUACUCAUUAUAGAUAGCAGAACACAUAACAGUGAGAACACAUAGCAUAGAACUAGGGCUGCCACUUGGUUUGGUAAAUACCAAACCGAUCGAAAACUGACCGAAAAUUUAUGAUUUGGUAAACCGAAUUUUGGUAAUCGAAAUAAAAAAAACCGAAACCGAGAAAUACCGAAAAAGUUUGUUUGGUUUUUGGUAAAUAGACUAAAUACCGAAUUUACCGAAAUUCUAAUUAUUUAAAGACUUAUAUUUCUAAAAACACACAGACUAAUAAUCUUAUUUCACGUUUUCAAUUGUAUAUACCAUUUAGUAAAAAACAAGACAAUGAAUAGAAAAAUUCAAUUAUACUUGGUAGCAUUCGGGUCUCAAUUAAAGCGAUCAACUUUAAUUCAAUGUUACUUAUUAUAUAAAAACGCUCUUACCUACCUGUCUUAGUCGAUUCAUCACACACACACAUAGACAAACUCACUUAGAUGACAUGUAACCGCCCAUGUAAAAAUUUAGGAAUGUUUUUACCUCUCUAGAUGAUAGGACUCCCCAUAAGAAGCACAAACGUAAUAGGGUUAGCCGCCUUGAUCAAGGCCAAAACAUUAUCAAAAAUACCUAAUUUUUCUACCAUAGUCGUAUUUCACUAUAUUGAUCACAUCAUAGUUCACAAGGUUUUUGAAAAUUUUGCUUCCUCUUUGUAGUUGGUUCACAAAGAUGUGCAUAUGCAUAUAACUUACUAAAUAAGUUAUACCACAUUACCAGGCAUGUUGUGGUUCCAAUUAUUACAAUUCACAAAAUUAAAAUUCGACCAUCUGAUGUGAUCAUUAUAGUAUAAUACAAUUAUAAUAGAAAAUUCAAUUGUACUCAAUAAUGCUCGGGUCUUGAUCAAAGAGGUCAACCAUAAUUUAACGUCACUUAUUACACGAAAAAGCUUUUACUGCCCUUAUGUGACUUAUUUUGGUCGACUCUUCCACACACAUACUUUCACAUAGAUGACACAUAACUUGUUCAUAUAAAAAUUUGGAAACAUUUACAUCCUGACUAUUUCGGUAGAAAAUUAAACCAUACUCGAUAAUGUGUACUGAAAUGACUAUCUUUUGUAUAUGUAUUAUCAGACUCUAGAAACUCAAAUGAUAUUUAAAUUUUAUAGUUUUGUAUUGUUUUGUUAUAUUUUGAAAAUAUAUUUGUUGUGAAGUUUGGUAAUACCGAAAAACCGACAUCCGAAGUUGGUAAGAUUUAUCUCAUACCGAAGUUUUUGGUUUGGUAAUUGAAAGUCAUAUUUCAUUACCGAAAGCUUUGGUUUUGAAGUUGGUAACGCCCAUUACCGAUUCGAACCGACCGAGUGGCAGCCCUACAUAGAACACAUAGAUUGAUAGAUACAUACGGAGAUUCGAGGCUUGGUGUUGCGAAGUCGACGGUGAGUCGAGGCGCUGCCCUUCCUCGGAGAGUCGAGGCGCUGCCCUUAGCGCUGCUGAGUCGAGGUGGCAAGAUGUCGCUAAGUCGACGGCGAGAGAGGCGAGGUGGCGAGAAACUGAGUCGAGGUGGUGGAGCCGCAGAGGUGAUGCGAAGUCGAGAGAUGAGUCGAGAGAGGCGAGCGUGAGAGUAAGUGAAUGAGUGAGCUGUGAGUCUAUUAUGUAAGGAUUAGGGUUAGAUCAACGAUGGAGAUUCAUCUCCAUAAAUCAACGGCUUAGAUUAAUAGUUUUAAUUUUUUUUUUAAUAUAACUCGGUUGGUACAUGGUAUACUGUAUUUUGGGAAAACUUGUACCACGUACCAACCGACUUCUAAAACUUGGUACGGUACUACUGUACCGAAAACUCAGUUACAAACUACUUGGCAUACCAAUUUGCUUGGUACGGUUGGUACAUGGUUGGUUAGUUUCGCGAGGGUCCAAAUUGCCACCCCUACUAAUCUCAACUCCACCCGGGUUUGAUUCCCAGCAGUGGAAAUCUCUGAUUGUUUAACAUUUUUACAUCUUAUUUUCUUAUUUCCUUAACUUGUUUUUUUUUUUGUAAAUUCUCCCGAUACAUACCAAGCUCAAAAGUAUUUUUUUGUAGGCGCAUGUUUGUAACUAUUGCGAGUCGUUAUUUUACUUUUGAAUGUUUUACAUCUUAUUUCUUAUUUCCUUAACUUUUACAUCUUAUUUCCUUAACUUGUUUUUUUUUCUCUAAAUUCUCACGAUACAUACCAAGCUCAAAAGUAUUUUUUGUAGGCACGUGUUUAUAACUAUUGCAAGUCGUUAUUUUACUAUUUUUCACUGUAAAGGAUUAUUUUUUUUGUUCAAUAAUCAAUUAAAUGGUAGUUUUAGAUACUUAUUGUAGUUAGCUAAAAAUUGAUAGGUAAUCGAUUUGAAGAGAAACAAUUUCAAGCCCACUCCGGUUCUAAAUCCUGGAUCCGCCACUAGGAGAAAGGUCUUAAUUGAUCAUCGUACCAUGUUGAUGAAAUAGGUCGUCAUGUUCAUAUAAUACGUAAAAAAUUAUAUAAAUAAAACAUAAUUAAUUGGUACAGAUUUGGCAGUGGUGAAGCUAGCUUGUAGAGGUGUUUAGUCGAAAAAGCCAAGGUAGAUGGGUAUGUGUAUUGCAGGGGAUCAUGCAUGACAAAUAGGGUACGUACAUACGGGUCAAUAGGGUUAGUUAUGUCACGUCGAUGUAUAUAAUUAGAUUAGUUUACGAGUUGAAUCACACAUAAAAAAAUUAUUUUAUAAGGGUAGAUAGUGCGUCUCUUAAUUCUUAUGAUUUUUAGAAUUUAAAAACGUUUAGGAUUUAAUACGGCAAGUGCGGCUAUUAGGACCUCCAAAUUUGCUCAUUUGACCUCACUCUAUUAUGAAUUAUUAAAUGACAUAUUUAUCCUCUUACACAAUAACUAUUAAGGACACUAAUUAAACAAAAAGUAAUAUUACAUUUAUUCUUUCUAAACUUUCUAAUUCAAUAAUAAUGGAUUACAUUUUAUUCUUUUUCUUAUUGAUUUUUAUUUUCUAGUUUUACCACAUACUUAUUAAAGAAUUUAUAUAUUUAUAAUAUCAUACAUGUCACAUACAUAUACAAAGUGAAAUCUUAUUUUUACAAAAAUUAUGAUUUAUCAAUUAUUAAAAUACAAAGUAACAAAAAUAUAUAAUAGUUCAUGUAAGAACAUUCUUUUGAUGAUCGAUAAAUAAAAUUUGAGACACAAUCCUUGAUUUUUUUUUAAUUUUUAAGAGAAUAGUAUUUUUCAUGAUUCGAAUUACAUUUUCUUGAAAAUUGAUGUCAUUGUUUCUUACAAUUUGAUCAAAAAAUGAAUGUCUAGUGACAUUUUAUGCAAAAUAAAAAUACAAAAAAUAAAGAAAAUCAAGAAAUCAAGGUCGGGAAUGGAGGUUUGCGUUAAAAAGAAAAAAGAAAAAUAAAUUAAAGAAUGGAAGUUGGGAAUGGAUGUUCGCAUGCAAAAAGACAAAAAGAAAAAAAGAAUUUGAGGUAUAUAUAGUGAGUGAAUAAGAGGUGUAAUGAGUAAUAUAUUAAUAUGGGUCUGGUUCAAAGGACAUCAUAUUUAACACAAAUUUUAACACUAUUUGUGAACCAUUAGAUUUUAAAACUUUCGAUGGUUCAGAUUUAUUAUUGCAAUGAUGUCAACAUAACACCAAGUGAUGUGGAAAUUAUAUGGCAUUACAUAUGUUUAUAAUUAGAUUAAACUUUUCUUUAUUAUCAGUAAAACAAAAUUAAAAUUUAGGGUUUUUUUUAAUAGAGAUUUAGGGUUUUUUUUGUAAAAGAGAGAGGAUGAAAAAUAGCAGAAGAUAGGGAUGUCAAGGUGCCAAACUGUUUUGAUAAUAUUGUUCAUAUGACUGCGUUGUUCAUAGGAUUGGGUCCUCCAACUCAUCUUCUUCGACUGGCGUACUUUCCUAGAAUAGCCUCCCAUGCCUACCAACAAUCUUGAAUCUUGACCAAGAUGUUUCUUAAUUGUCUUAGAUAUGUGCUCUUGUUUAUGAGCAAUUUGGAUUUCGGAAGACACUUAGAUCAAGGCCCCCAUUCAAUUGAUCAAUAAACUUGACAAAAUAGAACAAUGGAUUGAAGUUAGAAGAUUUCAAAGAAGAAGAUUGGGGCCUUGAGGAGUAGAGUUAUUAACUUGUUAACCCUGCUUGUAGUCCUCGAUCAACAAAAUUCUCCAAAUAUAAUACUCAAUUCAUCUAGAUAGACUAGCAUCGAUCAUAACUUCAUAAGCCUUAUACAUGCAUGCAUGUGUAUUCAUGUGUUAUUGUUGUAAGUAUCGUGAUUAGCCAUAAAAAGUGGAAGCAUGGAGAUGAAAACUUGGAGUCUGUUCUUUUAUGGAGUUUCUGGCGUUCUUGCUCUUGUGCUAUUCUUAUCAUUUUUUUUUUGUUGUCUACGAUUAAUAAGAAUUUUGAUUUUGUUUUUUAAUAUUAAAGAAAAGUUUAAUCUAAUUAUAAACAUAUGUAAUGUCAUGUAAUUUCCACAUCACUUGGUGUUAUGUUGACAUCAUUGCAACAAUAAAUCUGAACCAUCGAAAGUUUUAAAAUCUAAUGGUUCACAAACGGUGUCAAAAUUUGUGUUAAAUUUGAUGUCCCUUGAACCGGACCGUAUUAAUAUAUAUGUAUGAAUUACAUAAAUAAGGCUAUUUUAGAAAUUUGAAAAGAGGUCAAAUGAGCAAAUGCUUGUAUGUAAAAGUAAAAUGAAGGGGUAGAGAGAAUGAGAGGUAUACUGAGCAAAUUUGAAGGCCCCAAUAGCCGCACUCUAAUAUGCCCUUGAUCGAAUCAGUCAACCUUAAAUAUACCUCGUUUUUUACACGAAACAUGAUUGACCUACAUCAUGCGAGAUCCUAUUUUUCUCCGUUUUCGAACAAAAAACUCGUAUAUAUGAGAUUUAGGAUCUCAUCCUAUUACACUUGAAUCUAACCUAUACUAAACAAGUUAUACCGUUUUAGUAGACACGUGACGAUCCAAGGUCAUAAAUACGUGAAAAUAAAAAUUUCAUCAUCUGAUAUAGGCAUGGUAAUUAAAUAGGUCUACUGAAAAAAAAAUCCACCAUGUUUCGGAUUUAUUAAGACCCUCAUCGAAUUGGCAACCCUAAAUAUAACUCGUUUUUUACACGAAACGCGGUUAACCGACAUCGUGCGAGAUCCUAUUUUUACUUGUUUUCAAACAAGAAGGUCCUAUAUAUGAGAUCUAGGAUUCCAUGAAUUUUUUUUGUUAACUUGACCCUCCGGUGGUUAGGCUCCCCUUAGGAGCGCCUAAACAUAAUUAAGGUUGACCGCUUUUAUAGAGACCUAAAUGUUACCGGAAGGUUGUGAUUUUUCAUCCCUAGUCGUAUUUCACUAUUUCGAUCACAUCUUGUUUCACAAGAUUUUCGAAAAUUUUGCUUUGUCUGUAUAGUUGGUUCAUAAUGAUAUAUACUUGAAUAUAACCUACUAAACAAGUUAUAUCGUUUUAGUAGUCACGCUGUGAUCCGAGGUCAUAAUUACGUGAAAAUAAAAAUUCCACCGCCUGAUGUAGGCAUGGUAAUUAAAUAGGUCUACUGCAAAAAAUCCACCCCGUUUCGGAUUUAUUAAGCCCCUCAUCGAAUCGGUCAACCUUAAAUAUAUCUUGUUUUUUACACGAAACGCGGUUGACCGACAUCGUGCUAUCCUAUUUUUACUCGUUUUCAAACAAGAAGCUCAUAUAUAUGAGAUUUAGGAUCCCAUGAAUUUUUUUUGUUAAAUUGACCAUCCGGUGGUUAGGCUCCCUUUAAGAGCGCCUAAGCGUAAUUAUGGUUGACCGCUUUUAUUAGGGCCUAAACGUUACCGGAAGUUUGUGAUUUUUCAUCUAUACAUGUAUUUCACUAUUUCGAUCACAUCCUAUUUCACAAUAUUUUCAAAAAUUUUGCUUCCUUUAUAUAGCUGGUUCACAAUGAUAUUCAUUUGAAUAUAACCUAUACUAAACAAGUUAUACCGUUUUAGUAGACACGUGAUGAUCCGUGACCAUAAAUACAUGAAAAUAAAAAUUCCACCGUUUGAUGUAGUCAUGGUAAUUAAAUACGUCUACUGAAAAAAUUCCACCCCGUUUCGAAUUUAUUAAGCCCCUCAUCGAAUCGGUCAACCUUAAAUAUACCUCGUUUUUUACACGAAACGCGGUUGACCAACAUUGUGCGAGAUCCUAUUUUUCCUCGUUUUCAAACAAGAAGCUCAUAUGAGAUUUAGGGUCCUAUGAAUUUUUUUUGUUAAAUUGACCCUCCGGUGGUUAGGCUUCCUUUAGGAGCGUCUAAGCUUGAUUAGGGUUCACCGUUUUUAUCGGGGCCUAAACGUUACCAGAAGUUUGUGAUUUUUCAUCCCUAACUGUAUUUCAUUAUUUCGAUCACAUCAUAUUUCAUAAGAUUUUCGAUAUUUUUCCUUUCUGUUUAUAGUUGGUUCACUAUUUUCCUUACAUAUUUACAAUGACGUUUAUAAUAUUUUUAAAUUAAUAAAACAAAAUAAAAUGAACCCAGAAAUCAAACAUAUAGAAAUUUUUUUUUUUUUAAAGUGUAUAAAACCAGAAAAAAAUUAGUGGGCUUCGAACUUGGGUGGUUCAGCCUCCAAAACAAGACAGCUGGCCACUAAGCUAAACAGAUUUUUCCUUGUUUGUUUCUCAAAGAUUGUAUAUUUUCUAUGCUAACUUAUAUAUUAUAUUAUAUUAUAUUAUCAGGACCCUUCUAAUGAGGGAUCCCUAUUUUAAACCAUUUAUAGGGAUAGGGCAUUACACCAACUUCCCGAUUAUAAUUUUACAUCUCCACCGUUCAUAUCUUAGGUCUAUAUGAGUAGAUCACCUCUACAAAAUUUCAUAUGAUUUGGUGACCGUUAAGGCUUUCAAAAGUUCAAUUUAGUUUUAAUGACCUUCAACGGUUUUAGUUUGACAUAAGCUGGACCGUUCAAGAUCAUUAAAACUAAAUCANNNNNNNNNNNNNNNNNNNNNNNNNNNNNNNNNNNNNNNNNNNNNNNNNNNNNNNNNNNNNNNNNNNNNNNNNNNNNNNNNNNNNNNNNNNNNNNNNNNNNNNNNNNNNNNNNNNNNNNNNNNNNNNNNNNNNNNNNNNNNNNNNNNNNNNNNNNNNNNNNNNNNNNNNNNNNNNNNNNNNNNNNNNNNNNNNNNNNNNNNNNNNNNNNNNNNNNNNNNNNNUUAUAGAGAUGAUCUACUCAUAUAGACCUAAGAUAUGAACGGUGGAGAUAUAAAAAUUCAAUUGGGAAGUGGUGUAAUGCCCUAUCCCUAGAAAGUGACCAAAAAUAAAGAUCCCUCAAUGGAAGAGGGCUGAUUAUAUUAUAUUAUAUUAUAUAUAUACACACACACCAGGUAGAAGAAAAGUUUGCCGGAGGUUGGUGGCUCGAGGCUGCUGCCUCAAACUCUCAGGGACUUUCCUGGGUCAGGCUUCGUCGCUAUGUCUGAGAUCGACGUGGAUGCCGUACGUAGUCGUCGAAGAUGAAGGAGCUAGGGGCAGAAUCUUUUGAUGGGUGGUGUCGAGUACGAUCGAUGAAGUCGGCGAAGAAUUGGGAUGGGUCGUGUUGGCCAUUUGCAGAGAGGAGAGUACAACAGCCAUUAGAGGGAGAUGAGAAAGGAGAAAGGAGAAAGGAAGAGAAACAAAGAGAAAGGAAGAGCAACGACCCAAUCGAGGGCCACUCGCAGCUAACGUCGCGUGAAUUGACACACGCGGUAGACAUCCUGGUGCAGCUGUCCGACUGGUGCAUGGAAUAGGCUCUUGAUGAAUUUUCGUUGCGAGUUGGGUCACGAAAUGUCUAACAUGACAAAUAUCAUUGUUGGUAUAUCAUUUUCAACACUCUGUUUUCAAGUUGCCUUUUUUUUUCUAUAGUAAUGGUAGUUUAAUUGGAUCCACAUAGAUGCUGAUGGCAACUAGCUAGAGCGAUGGAGAGGACUUUUCAAAUGGUGUUUCUGGGACAGUUUCCCUUUCCUUUUCUGGCCAGUUAAUGAACUUGGAUGUGUGACUUCAAGUCUUCAACCAACUAUGGCAGAUUCCUUUCCAAGUAUAUGUAAAAUAAUGAAGGUAUUACUCUAUUUGUUCUGGCCAGUAGCUUGAAAUACCUAUGGAUUAAUGUAAUAAUACAUUUCUGAUUUAAAUAUUAGUGGCUACAGCUAGCUCAGCUUCAUCAUCAUUUCCAGUAUUUAGAAAGAAAAUUUCUACUUCUCCUUCGGCGCUUUCAAUGUUCUCUUAACAUGAUGUCCAGCAGGUUGUGUUAUAUGAGAGAAUCUUCGAUCGUCAUCGAGCAAAUUAUGCAAAUAAAUGGAAUAUUGUUCACAUGGAUGAUUUGAUACCUGAAUAUUCCAUCCUGCAUCCGUAUAGGUAUGAUCUUCUUGUGCUCAAAGGGUCUCCAAUGUUGUCUUACCCCUCACUCCUUGCUUUCGAUUUCCUACAUUAUUAGGUUGAGUGAGAAUAAUCUCUCGAUGACUCUUUAUUUGACUAGUUACUCUCUGUUAAUACCAAGCACAAAAUAAUAGUGAAUUAACGAAGAAGAGGGCUAUAUUUGAGUGGCAAUAUAUAUAGCAACAAGGCAUGUGCAGUGGAGUGGAGUGACAUACUGGAAGAGUGGCAAGGUCUGGUCUGGUCUGGUCUAGUUUGUUGCUUAAUUGUUCCGUUUUCCCUUCAUCUUAUAUACAAUCAGAUCAUCGAAAAUUCUUCCAUGCGCCAAAAUGCAAGUGAACCGAGCAACUAAUAUGCAAUAUUUUGAUCUGGUCAUCCACGUCCCAUUAUCAUGCCUGGAUUCUAAUACCGUUAACAAAAUUGAAACCCAAAAAAAUAGUCCUAAUUGUUCCAACACAGGAGGUGAAGACCUCUGAUCGAAUAAAAUGUACUCUUAUUAUGGGCGUUUAAUUUGAUUAGAUAAAAAAUGAAAGUGAAAGGAAGAAAUUUAUGAUCACUAGUCUUCAUUCGAUCUGCGAAUACGGUGAUUUGAGGACUUACAUAUUAAUGGUACAAGUGCACCUUAAUGCGUAGAAUCCGCUUCGGACAAUCAAAUCAUAUUCUAAUGAUCCGAGUCCAAGUGAUGUAUGUCCAAAGAAACACGAUUCAUUUCGAUGGCUACAUUGGAAAGCUGAUGAGAGUGGUCCACGGAGGAUUCCACCAGCAAUCCACCACCAACUAUAUGGUGUGCUAGAAAGACUGUUACCUAGUAACUAUAACAAGAUUGACCAAACUCAGCCUCUUGUUCUUUCCCAACCAUUCAACUUCAUCCAGUCUUGCCAUUGGAAACAUGACUGGUUUCUUUCUGUCUGCCAAAAAUCCUCCCUCUGUUCAAAUUUAGCAUGAAGCAUGUUUUACUACAAUGUAAUAGUAGAGUGGUAUCGAAGAUGUCAAAUGAGCGAGUGAAACCAAAUUGUUACAUAAUACAUAUCCUCGUCAUUUUGCUCCUUUUUGUAGACGAUUUGUUCAAUGGCAGGAUUAACUUUUGCUCCUUAUCCCUCUCAUUUAGCUAAGCUAUUCUCUUAAUAUUGCAAAGGUCCGUGCGUUUGAGCUAAUCUCAGCCUUUUUAUGGUUGUAAGAUAUCUGUAGCAAACUAGCAAUCAUUAACUAUGAAAGGAAUUGUUCACUACUACGAGCAAGUAGGUUUUUGCUCCAAGAAAUCAGCAGGUUGAUUUGAUUUCCUGUUGUUUUAUUUACCAGAGAUAUAUCGAUGCAUGUUUACAAAUUGAUCAGACUUGCAUGACACUACUGACCUUACCUUGUCAGUUCAUCUCAAGUACAGCCAUUUAUCUGUACAUAAGCAAAAGAUGCAUCUAAACUAGAUCAUCAUUUAUAGACUAUAGUACAUGUUCUUGAUCUUGUAAUAAACAAGGCACAGAAAAGCAAAGAUCACGAAGAAGCAAUUCCAAAUGCACCGUGUUGGGCGGUUUGGACUUGGAACAUCAGGAGGGCUAAUAGGUUGCUUAGUUAUCUGCUCCAAACCUCCGCCAUCCCUCGGUGUUGGUGUGAUCAGAGCAACUGGAGGCAGUGGUGGCGCAGCUGCGGCUUGUGGGGGUUUGGAUACAGUUGUUCCUGACUUCGGCUGGCCAUGGUCAGCUGCAGCUAUUGCCUUUGGCAUUGGUACUGGUUCAAAUCCAUCACUUGGGACAGGUACAGACCUUGCCUGUAACAUAACAAAAACAUUGGCUACAUUAGUGAUUAGUCGCUCGCCUAAUAUACUAUGGAUGUGAAAAUGAUAUUUAAAACAAACUGAUAACCCUACCAAAGUCCUAAAUAGGAGACUGUAAAACAUAUGAAUGUAGCUUUGCUUUGCUAGCUUCUGCUCCUUCCUCAACUGCCUCCAAAACCCGUAAGUGGAUGCCAUGUUCAGCACUUUGUUUGCAUAUAUUUUCCAUGUAUAGCUGCGACCAAAACAAACAACCAUCAGCUUCAAGAUUUGCGCACAAGGCUAAGCUGCAGUCACAUAAAUGUUCAAAUACUAUUGCUGUACCAUUCAUAAAUACGCUGCAGACCCGCCGCAGACAUCUUCUUCCAAUAUUCACCAUCUGCCUUGCAUCUCUCAAAGAAAUCAGCAAUCUUGUUGCUGGAUUCCUCACCAUUGUUUGGAUCAAUAUGGAAUCCCGAGACUCCAUCAACUAUAAUUUCAGCCGGGCCUCCUUGGUUUGUUGCAAAUGUGGGCAAUCCACAGUUCAUUGCCUCAAUCACUGUAAGACCAAAGGCUUCAUACAAUGCAGGCUGCACAAAAGCUCCCUUUGUAUCUGCAAUGCAGCGGUAUAACUCUCCGUUGCGGUAUCUAUCAGUUUGAGCUGCUAUCCAUCUGAAUUGGCCAUUAAGUUGAUAUUCUUUAACCAAGGCAUGCAAUUUGAUGAUUUCAGCAAUUUCCUCUCUGUCUUUGGACUUGGAUGGGUCAAAGAAGCCCCCUACUAUAACAAGAUUGACCAAAUUCCUCAGCCUCUUGUUCCUUCCGAACCACUCAACUAGUCCUGAAAGGUUCUUCACUUUGUCCAGUCUUGCCAUUGAAAAUAUGAUUGGUUUCUUUUUAUCUGCCAAAAAUCCUCUGUUUAAAUCAAGCAUAAAGCAUGUUUUAGUUCAAUGUAACAGUAGAUUGGUGAUAAAAUGUCAAAUAAGUGAACCCAAAUGAUCAAGUUUGUACAUGUGCUCGUCGUUUUCCUCCUUAUUGUAGACCAUUUGUUCAAUGGAAGGAUGAAAUUUGGUAAAGCGCUGCCGUUUGUCGGAAUGGGGGAAGUAGACAGAUUGGUCAGCACCGGGGGCAGCAAUGUUGAACUUCGGGUCAAACACAUCAAUGCCGGAGACUACUCGACAGAGUCCUGGCAUUGUGAAUGCAGUGUGGCUUUCAUACUGUCCAGGUCGAUCCUUACUGAUUCAGGAGACCACAUUAGUAUAAGGAGCUAGAAUGAGUAUGACAUGCAGUUUUCGAUCAAUUUUGAGAAAGAAAACUAGAAGAUAGCCUUACCCUCCUGAUAUUUCUUGAAAUGUGCUAGUUAUGAUAAAAUCAGUUGAGUUCAUAGAGAUCAAGUCAGCAGUGAACUGACAAGAAAAGUGGUACUUUGUAUCAAAAUCCUUCCAUUUGGCAUCCGAGUCUUCAUACUUGGUCUUUUCUAGAGCGUGAGCAAUUGUUCCCUGCAAGUGGUUUAAGGGUUAGAGUUCAUUGAUUCAAGAUUUUUCAAGAAGUUCAGAUUUAAAAAGACCAAGAUACAUGGGAUAUGAUCAUGGUCAUAUUUAGACCUGUGUUAUUCCAAGCUUGGUAGCCAUCAGAGAGGCCACCAAGUUUCCAUCACUGUAGUUCCCAAUUACGAGGUCCGGUUUGCAGUCCAUGUGUUGUAAGAUCUUUGCAGUUGCAUCCUAGCAAUGAGAGAUGAAACAAAAUCAGUACAGAAAAGAAAUUGCAUUUUUUUCCACAACGUAGGUGGAGUUGUAUAAUAGAUUGAAAAUAAGAUCAGUGCCUGGACAAAAGUCUCGAGAUAAGGGUAGAUAUCAAAACGGGACACCCAAUGGCGCAGAAUGCCUUUGUCUGUCCUGAAAGGAACCCUGAGAAUGUGGGAGUGCUUGGUGUUGACUAUAGCCUCCAACUCCACAUUGCACUUCGUCCCUCGAGAGUCUGGUAUGAGUCGCGUCACCACAAGAAUCUGAGGCUUUACAGCAAGCCCUUGCUGCUUUAUUCUCAAUAGCAUCUCUUCCUCUAAGGCUCUAACUUGAUCAAGUAUAUAAACCACCUGUUUCAUUUAUUUGUGAAAUUGAACACAAGAACUAGUACUAGUCAGUUGAUAUAUCCUUCAUUUAUGCUUGUUAUGGAGAUAGAAUUAGUAGAGUAGCAAGACCUGGCCACCAGUAUCGGGCAAUCCGAGGACAUCUGACUGGCCAAAGUAGCCGUGAGGGGAGAAGAUGACAAUGUUGAAUGUAUUAGGAAGGCUGCUAAAGAAUGACUCCAACUUCACAGAAUCUGGUGCUUGGAGUACUUCUGACAGUGUCCACAUCCUCUCAUUAACUCUUUCUGCUGUAUCCCCCCAUCCUUUCUCAAAUCCCAUAUCCUUUAACCUGAAACUUAAUGAAUUAACCACAAUGUACAUACCCGGAAGACAAGGAUCACAUCAAAAGUGAAACAUGGAUGAGUACCUUUGCUCGAAAUUAAGAAAUGGUGUCUCUUUUGGGAGUGCCGAGACAAACGAUUGUGCUCGAAUCAAUGACGUUUCAAGCUUCUCAACCGAAUCCAUAGUUUCGUUGAUCAUAAGAUUCUGUCCGUGGUGAUUGAGUUCUAACAAGUAGCCAAGCAAGGGUUUGGCAUAAUCGGAUGAGGUGGCAUUCAGCCUUGAGGAGAUUAACUUGAGGAUGAAGUUAAGUCCAUUCCCAAUGGAAGAAGGAAGAGUCAUGCGAGGACGAGAGAAGUCAAUGGAUCCAAAAUCAACUUCUAAAGCAUUUUCAUCAUUUGCCCUGCAUGUAAUUACACCUUAUUAAACAUCAUCUUACAAGUUCAUUUCUCAAAUCAAACAACAGAAAAUGUCUAAGUAUAUAUACCAGUUCUCGUCGUAGAUCAUUUCCUUGAAUUUCAAGUAUUCAGUAACGGAAAUUCCAUCCACUGCUAGAUCAUCAGCAUUCACCUUAACAAAUUCUGAGAAACCAGGAUUUGGUCUUACAGAAAAUGCAACGUACGGCGGAACAACAGCUGCUUCCUGCAUAUAAAAUGAAAAUAGUACAGUGUCUACCAUAUCAAUAUUUAUUUACAUAGCUAGAAACUAGUGUAUCUAAUAUAAGUAUGUACUUACCUGAGUAGAAUUGAGAAUGUAACCAAGUAAUCCCCGUAACACCUUGCUUUUUUCAUUCCCAUCCUCUAUUGAAUUUUCAACUUCCUCCAUUAUAUGCUGGGGCUUCAGUAGCCUCUUCCCAUCCCCAACGAACCUUUUAGUUCGUAUCCAACCAAAUUAGUUAACAAGAAAUAUGUAUAAUUUAAAACAUGAAAGCUGAUAAUUUUUGGAGUGGAACUUGGAAGCAACCUGGCAAAAACUUUCUUCAUGUAGUAGCGGCUCUGUCUCAGAGCAUCGGGCAUAGUUUCUGCAAUUGAAUCAGCGCGCUUCAAGGCUGGAACAGAAGCCAUUUUAGCAGAGGUAAACGAUGGGGACUAGUUUGUAUGUGUUGUGAUGUUAAUGAAUGGGAAGAAUGCUAAUUUAUAAAUAUGGCAACGCCUCAAAUUGCAAGGGGAGGAGAAACAAGAUUCUUUUAUUCCUAAGAAAGGAAUGUUACCAAGGUAACCCGGAAACCAGAAAGAAGCAAAUGAUUUGGCUUUCUGCUCUGGCAAGGUUACCAGAACUAUCUCGUAACUGGAGGGAAAGAAUCUCAAGGUAAGUUCUGUAACGUGUAUUCAUUCCUUGCCUCUUUCUUUCAACACAACCUUGUUUCAACAGAAGUUCUGUUUAUACCACAGAUUGGCAAAGCCACACAGGUUCUUCCGCAAAAUAAAAAUGCCUCAAGCCAUUUACUUGGCAUGCCAUGGAACAACUACGAUUACGACAUAAACUAGCAUUAGGCGAGAAUCAGCUCUGACGACAUAAGAUAACUGCAUUACCGGAUUCAUUCAGGUUCAAACAGCCCAUGAUUAAUUAAGAAAAGGCACCAAUUGUUCGGCACUGUAUCAUGGGCAAAAACUAGACUAGAUUUACCCAAGCUUGCACAGCAAGUCCGCUUACCAGUUGGCUAUUAAGAAGUCUUGAGAAAUGUACCCACUAAUUGCACCAAGCCUUAAAAAGCAUUGGAACAAUCUAAAACGCGCCAACUACAACUUUCUUAAAACUGUCAAAUUCUGAUAGACAUCCCACUAGCAGUAGAACAUGACCUUCUUCACAUUUUCUUUAAGUGCAGGCAAAGGCCUCACAGCAGCAUUUGGACCCGGUGCUCGUGUGCUCCGUCCUCCACCAGCACCACUCAUGCCACUCCCCCGUACAUGAGCACCACUUGACAUUGAACCACUAUCAGAAGUCUCAGGCUCCAUAUAAAACCUUGCUCGGAAGGCAGCCAAAUGCGCGUAAUACGCCGGGGGAACUGGAAAAAUAAACUAGUCAGUAAAUGUUCCAAAGACAAGUGGUGACCCCAGUCAUGAGCCAACAGAGAAAGAGCAAGCAACACAAGUAUCAGAGACAGCAAAAUCUUACCAAUUGAAACAGAGCGUGUGCACCUUGCAUACCUACAGGAAUUCAAAAAUCAAUUAUUGAGAACGAGAAUUUGAAAUGGUAGAUUAGGGUAUCUUUGGCGUAGGGAUGAUUGAGCAAACUUACGUGUAGCAAAGAUUAUUGGUGAGGGACUGCAGCGCAUCUGCUGUGAACUUAUUUUCAUCCCACAACACAUGGUAAUGAGCUGGGCGGCUUGUACCCUGUCGUAGCAUGUCAGUUAGAUAUUUGAUAAACUCACAAACACAUAAAAAUAAGAAAAGGAAAUGAUUAUUGCCUGAAUUCCUGCAUGGCUGCAGAGGUAAAAGUCGAACUCAGUGGGGUGACAGAUUUUGGAGUCCACCACGGUACCUGAUAAAUUAGGGGUAGCAAGAGUUCAAUUUCCAGACUAGGUUCCAGAGACUAUUUAAUAUUAAAAUUAGACAUGUUGAUACUUGGAAAAAAAAACUGAUUACCAGGUAAAAUGUUCCCACUCCUGUCAACAGAAUUGCGAUCACGAUGGUUGUCAGGAAACAACCUGGUAUGAUGACGCUUUUGAACAACAACAAAAGUAACAGGAGGUUGAUAAUUUGGCUCCAGUGAAGCACAGGCCUACAUAAAAUGUGUAUGAAGAGGAACAACUACUGGUUAAUUGAUUACAAUACACGACAGUGAUAUAAAAGACUGAAAGUAUCUAAGAGAACAUUAGUGCAACAGUAACAAUAUUAAUUACCUUACGAAUUGCAUCAAGUUCGUACAGCAGAACUUGGUAGAACUGCCCUUCGCUCACUCCAUCCCUGGAAAGAAAGAUGCACACACUCAAUUAGAUACAGGAGUAAUAAGGACGAGAAAAUGCAAAGGAGUAAAUAGGCGAGAAAAAAGAAUGUGAAAAAUGCCUGUAGAAAAUAAUGCGCUGAGGCUUCUGCCCUGUUGCUCUACGGAACGAAAUAAGCAGUUCCCUACAAUUUCAAAACACAUCUACAUCUCAGUCAACUUCAUAUUUAUAACAUAGGCUACCAGAAAAACAAAAUGUCCCUUCAAACAUUACAGCAAAAUAAAAUUAUGUAGAAUCAAAUGAAGAGAAGCACAAGAGAGAGAGAGAGAGAGAGAGAGAGAGAGAGAGAGAGAGGACUUGUACUUUAUCAUUCCACCAGACAUUGUGCCUUUUACUGGAUCCUGCCACUGUUUAAACAAAUCUUGGAUAAGCUCCUGGCGAUGGGCUUGAGCACAAACCAAACCAGCAUACUUUGUUAUUUCAGGCCAGUCUUGAGAAGCCACAACCUAUGUUUCAAAUGCAGUUUGAACAUCAAUUGUAAGUUUGUAACUCUAUUAUUAAUGCAGAACAAAGAACAUUAUUCAUUAUGCUACUGAGCCAUACAGCUGCAAUUGAUGGGCUUGAAUCCUCCCCCGGAUGAGGAUGUGUCACAUCAGCACCGAAAAUUAUUGUGGGACGGUCACUGACCAAGGGAAUACGUCUUGAGAUUGCAUCAACAAGUACUGUGUUCCGUCCCCCGACCUUCACAUUUAUCUUCAAAGCAACGUUUGCUAAAUACUGCUUACUCAUUCUAAACACAUGCUUAGUUAAACAGCACUGGGAUACUAGGCCAAGAUCUGUCUCACAGAUCCUUUUUAAAUCACCUGGAUGAGAUAUCAUAGCAUUCAUGAGUCUAAAACAACUCCUGUAGUGAACAAACAAAAAUAAAAUAAAGAAAUAAGAAUUUGAUUAUAACUACAUACCAUAAAGAGAGCCAUUAUUAUCUGGCAAAAUGACAACAAGAAGGUCAAGCUCCUUGCCAGGAAUCUUGGUCAUUGCAUCAUGAUACCGAGUUUUUAAGACCUUCUCCACCUGAUCAGGUCGAGCAGUGAUUGGUGGAAGCACUGGCUCAGGAGUAAAUGCCUGAUAAAAAACAGUUCAACAGUCAGAUGCAAUGCAAUUAAAUAAUGACCAGUGAAAGUGUAAAAGAACAAAAGUUAAGUCCCAUACCAUGCCAGAAAUGUGACACAUCUGAGCAAGUUCAUAACAAAAUCCUUUUGCCACACUGUCUUGUACAUUGCGGGAAAAGUUUAUGCAGAUCCAAUUGCUUACUUUUCCUCCAUUUACCAUUUUCUGCAAAAAUAUCACGAGAUGUUAAGAAAUGAAUGAAAAAGGUACGCCACUGCGAGAAAACAGACAUGAAAAUUACAGGUUCACGGUAUUGUAUAAGAUAUAUGAUAAUGAUGCACCCCAAUACCUUAUUCAUCAUAUUCCACUGUCCAACUUGGGGCAGGCAAUCCUUUUCCCUUCCAGUGUCAUGGUAUUUAAGCUGUAAGAAACAGAAGAAUCAAUACAGCCACAUGCUAGAACCAAAAAGGCAAUUACAGAUAUAUCUUACCCAUGGCGGAGGAAGAAUGCGAGCUUCAACCUGAGCCAGAUUCUCACUAAUUUUAAUUCCAAACUCCUUUGCAUAAGGAUCUUCAGCAUAUGCAUUAUGACGUACUGUCUGCAAAUAUUAACAGAAGAGCAGAAUUAGGAAACUAAACAUAUCACGCAUUCCCCAUAACACAAUCAACAACCAUGCAUUGUGGUUAUGCAUUUAAAAUAUUUUGAAGAUACAAAUGUACACUACAAUGUUAACACAAAACUGCCAUAGCCAAUACUUUCUGAAUAAAACUAUAAAACCUGAUUGUAGGUACCUAACCAUAUCACUGAGAUUAAGAUACACAUAUCAUAUAAAGUACACUAAAAACCCCCUGCUAUCGCAUUCAAGUCUCUAGAAGGAUGCAAAGUCCAGAACAAACUGAAUGGAAACAAAAUUAUCAUUAUCAUGCAGGGGAGGCCCCUGCAUUCGCAUUGUUGGGAGGCCUCAAACCCAACAAUGGAGGCGGCGCAAAUAGCAAAUAUCAAAGAUAACUAACCUGCAUAAUAUCACGCUCCCUUUCUUGAGGGCGCUGACAAGUCACCUUGAGUAAAGCAGUUAUCUGUCUCUCAUUCAGUCUCUUAGAAUACCGUUGUCCCUCAACAAUUUUACAGACCUGAAUGCAAUUACAGCCUAUUAGAAUCCAAGUAACUGCACUAUUGAAAGUAAACUGUAGUAUAACAGCAACUUACCUCCAUAGGUAAAUAGUUAGGUCGCUGUGAAUUUCCAACUUGAAGACAAGGCCAAUAUGGAUGUUGAAUGGCAAAACCAUAGGUUUCAUGAAAGUAAUCGACCACCGAUUUCAUUGUUCCUCUUUCAUCAACAGGAAAACUGAACAAAAAUUAAGACAGUCAUGAACUCCUGUUUCAACAGGAUUUUAAAAAAUUAAUGACCAUGAGCUAUUAAUACUCACGUCAGCUCUCUUGUUGCCUGGGAUGUUAAACCAGAGAUGCGGUAUUUUCUGCGCAUAUUUCCUCGGUGUGUAACUUCAACUUUUACUCCACGUAGAGCCUUUUUAAUCUGUUUAAAAACAAAGAUUCAAGGCCUUGUAAAAUUAAUAACAUGAAAACAUGUAUAUCUAAAGGACAUAUCCCUCGUACACAAGUAGAAGAUAAACUGAAUUACCAGAAUCAUGACAAGAAAGAAAUCUCACCUUCACACGAUCGGAAUCAGAAAGAGGCCUCGCUUGAACAUCACGAUUCAGUAGCUGGGUUACAAACUCAAUAACUGGCAAUGGCUCAAUGAAAGCUGUUGAGGACAUAUCUGGACAUUCAACCAUAAUUGUACACAUAUCAGUGCAUGGAGGAAUAAUACAGUAAUACAACACGUAAAUUGAUGGAAGUAUAUAGGCUACUGUAAGUUAGAAUGUUGAAUUGUAUACCUAUGUUUAAAGACAGCCCCAUUUGAGUUGGACGAAUACUCUGGUAGAAACCACGCCAACUUUCCAAACCCUCGCCAAGUGGUUGUCUUCUACCCAAGCCAGGGUCGUAAAAUGAACGACCCACAGGACAGUACCUACAUCCAAACAGGCAAGUAUCAGCUUGUGCAUAGUAUAAGCCAUGGACAUAUUUUCUGAUAUCAUACAAGCAUAAAGCAGAAACAGUGUACCUGGAAGUAGGCAACUCCCUUAGAACAAUAUCCAGAACCUGAAGGGCCUCCUGCGGUGCAUCAGCUAUUCUCCCUUGCAAAAAGAGACCUAAAUGGUGCAGGUCAGCACGCGCAGCGAAUUUGAUCACGACUCUGAACUCUCUCUCUCUCCGACUGCAUCAAGAUGAAGCCAUCAGUAAAUACAUGGUAAAUAGACUACGAGAAUACAAUAAAAGUGUUGCCAUAAAAAGUACAAUCAAUUAAUACAUACGCUUGUCCAGCCUGUCCCUCCUCAUCAUCCAAAAGAGUGAUUUUGAACUCCUUGGACUGGAAAGGAAGAGGCCCAGCAGUAUACAGGCUUUUCCGUCCAUCAUAAGCAGGAAGUCGGCUUGAAAGAUGGGAGUCCUUGUAGGUUUUCACUAACUGCGACAUCACAGCACGGUUUACACCCCGUGAUGUGACUUCUGGUGUAAUAGUUACCUAACACAAAAUAAAAUAAUGAUAUUUUCAUUCAUAUAUUAAUAAUACGUAGUCAGUACCAAAAUACAGACACAGGGCAAGAGUGCUCACAUCAUAUUGGUGUAGAUCCUUGUCUGGCAAUUCAGCAAAGAAAUGGUUUGCUUUGACUGUACACCUUGUGCCGGUCUUACCCUUUCCAGGACGAAGAGGGAACCUCACACCCUUGCUAGAGACCGGUACUUGUUGAAUGGCCUGACUAGAAGCUUCCUCUUGCCGGAUGGAAACCUGCUGAAGCUGCUCUGCCACCUCAGAAGGCUCUGGUGGCUGAGAAGAUGAGCUUGCUUGAAAAGCAGGCUGAGGGGUGAGUCCAGCUUGGUAAGGAACUGGGCUUGCUUGGUGCAGCUCGGAAACUGGUGGUCUGGAUGGGCCGCCAGCUGAAGGUCCUCCAUGACCACCACUGUACCCUCCUCGGCCUCCUGGUUGCUGAGGAGGCCCUCCCCUGCCAUACUGCUGCUGUGGCGUUCCAUAGCCUCCACGGCCGCCACCAUAUCCUCCACGCCCUCCUUGUGAAGUAGAUCCUCUUCCACCUUGGUAGCCUCCACCCUGUUGUUGGGGCACAGAUCCCCUUCCUCCUCCACCUUGUUGUUGUUGUUGUUGCUGUUGCGGUGGCGGAGCAGCAGGUCGCUGGGAACCAGUCUCAGAGCUUUCACUUCCGCCAGGAAGCUCGGUUCUCCUCUUCCUCACCAUGAUGGUGUCUAUACAAACAAAACAACAAUAAGACGCUCAAACCUCAACCAAAAGUAACAAACAGUCAAAAUAACAAUAACAGCACGCUAAACUAUGCGUUCAUCCGACAUUGCAAAUUUUCACACCCCAAUAUCACUAUCAAAAUGAGCCUCCAUAGCCAAACAUGCAAAGUUACAUCUAUUACACUGUAAAAUCAAACAAACAACAGACUACAGUCACAGGUAAUCUCGCAACCGAAAGCCGGAUUCUAGUUUAAACUAUACAGUAACCAGAGAAUUCCCACAAUUUCUCAAAAACCCUAGCAUUUCAACCUUGCCGAAAGUAACACAUCAUCAAAUACAGCGACACUGCAAAACCAAAAACACACACGCUUCGAAACAAAAAAAAUCAUAACACCACACACAGCAAACCCUAGGGAAGCAAAAAGCCAGAAAUGCUUCUCAGCAUUGCAAAAUCCGCGAGAUCUAAACGAUCAAAGGCAAAACCUGCACUGAAACGACGGCACAAACCGCUCCAAAACCGAAACGAACAGAUACAGAAAUCAAACCAGAUCUUCGUGAAAGAAACAGAGGCACACAGAUCCACACCAGAAAUUCACAAACAAAAAACCGACGGAGAAAGCAUUACGAAAACCUAGACCGGCGGAGAGAGAAGAUUUUUUACCGUAAAAAGCAGAAAGCCGACGUGUUCCGUACUAACCUCACCGCAGCAGUGGGUGGUUUUGCUUUUGGUGCUUUCAGAGAGAACCACCUUACUCUCUCUCUCUCUCUCUCUCUCUUUCACUCUCUCCUUCUCUCUUUAAAUAUUUUUAUUAUUUUAUGUUGCUGUUGGUGAAAGACCCCAUCAACGCCUCCCACACUCCCCCAUUUAUACACCUACACCACUAGGUUAAUCAAAAUCACCACUCUACCCUUCUUCCCCUCGCUUUUACGGUCCUACCCCUGCUCACCUCUGUUUUUUUACACCUACUGAACUCUUCUCACAGUGAGACUGGGGUCAUCGUUUUAACUUUUAACCCGUGGAAGGAAACUUGAUGCCAAGAUUGCCCUUCAACAAAACCAUUUCAGAGGAAAAUAUAUAUUUUAAUAUGAAAUUUGGUGAAAUAUACUGUACCUGACUAUUAGGUAAAUUCAUUAUCCAAAAAAAAAAAAAGACUAUUAGGUAAAUUCUUGAAUGGAAAAUAUUUCCUUUAUGUUUCUUCUUUUCCAUGCCAGUGUUCUGUUCAUCUCCCUUGUGCUGUGUUCUUGUCAUUUCUUUCUAUCCUAGUUUCAUACAUCCUGUAAGGAAAUAAAUCGAUUAUAAAUGUUACCAUGUAAAUGUUUAAAUGUACAGAUUAUAUUGAGUAUUGAUACAUCAUAUUUGAACCUAUUUCAAUUGAUUUCGACAAGAUUUGUUCAAACAUAUCAAGUUUUGCAUGGUCAUGAUAUAUGUAGAACUAGUUUGAUAUGAUAAAAUUUUGUUCUGACAACGGUAGAAGUUGAGACAAUCGACAAUCACUACCAAUACCAAAGGUAGUGGUCUAGUGGAUAUUGAGCGAAAUUGUAAAGUCCGCCCCGAUAAAGAAUUAGGGUUUUUUUUGUUUAUUAUAAUAAACGCUCUAACCUAUAAAGAAAUUACGUUUCAUUAUACUCACGAAUUACAAAGCUAGCUAAGCCAUUCAAACUUGGUAGUGAAUAUUAAAACAUAAUGACAGUAAACGCACUAAAUUUUGAAUGGACUAGCUGACUUUGUAAUUCGUGAGUAGAGUGAAACGUAAUUUCUUCAUAUGUUCGAGUGCUCACGUGAAGUCGCCAGUAGGUUCCAGAUGACGACAACUCUUUCCAACUGAGUCCUUAAAUAUAAAGAUGUCUAUGACGUUUGAACAAAUCGUUAGUUUUGAAAACUCUUUUAUAACGCUCUUUUCAGUUUUCCCUCUUUCGUAUUUCCAGAUUAUUAUUUAAAUUCAAAUUCUGAUUUUUAUAGAUAUUCGUAGUGAUGAGGCUACUGAAUUAUGGAAUCAAAUUUGCCAACUAGCAGAGUGUGCUGGUCAGCCUGACCACAACGGAAAAAACAGCAGCAUGGAUUGAUUAAUUUAAUCAAAAUUUAACUACAGUAAUUUUUCUUGGGCCUGCUGCUGCUUUUUCCGUUGUGGUACAGUAAUUUUUCUUGGGCCAGCACACUCUGCUGGUUGGCAAAUUUAUUUCCCUGAAUUAUCACCGUGUAAAAUCAAAUACUAAGAAAAAUGAUAGAAUGACGUGGCAUCAGCCAGCUUGGCGUUAAAAUUUCUCCGGAAGGAGAGAGAGAGAGAGAGAGCGACUAUGGUCAAGACUAAAAGCAGUAGUAGUCAGUCCGGUCCGGUCCGGUCUUGUCCACUCACCAACUCAGCCCACUACCCCAAAGCACAUACAAUCACACGACGACACCUGUUCAUUAAUUCCGAAGCCUUCUUUUUCGUGACCACUACUACUAGUACGGCUAUGGUAACGGACGCUGCUCAUGAAAAUGACCAAAACACCCCCACUGCCCUUUGCAUUUGCAGAAGCAGAACUAGCCAGAAGUCUGUCCCCUUGGGCUUUUCCUCUUUCAGGCAGUAAUGAAAUGAUGCAUCUACCGCCAUGUCUCUUUCUUUCGUCCCAAGUCCCAACAACAACUCAUCUUCAACAUUUUACUUUUUACCGGCGGCAUUAUUUAUUACCCCCUACACCUGGUUUUUAACUGCAUACUUUUACCCCAUAAACCUAGUUUUUAACUGAAUGGUUACAUUCCCAGUACUUUACUAGUUUACUAUUCAUUGUCACAUAUUAACCACUACAUGUGGUCGAGUCGGUAAGAAUAUAGAUAUAUUUGAAUUAGGGUUGGGCAUGAGACGGGAUGAGACGAGAUAGAGCUAAUCUCACGGCCCGUCUCGAACAUUAAAAUCGGGACGGGACGGGACAGGAUUUGCGUUUCUUAGAUUUCUUAGAUUUCAUCCCACCCGAGCCCUAUCCCAAUUGGGACGAGACGAGCCAAAUCCCAGAUAAAAAAAGUUAAAAAUAAACUUAUAAAUAAAAGAAAGAGUUCCAUAGUUUUAUAGUGAUUUCUACUCUGUUAUGUAUUAACAAGUACUUGUAACAUAUUUACAAGUACAACACGGUGUAAUAAGAGAGUUUAUACUACUUACUUUCUCUAAACUCGUCAUCACUAUUAGGGUGCAAGAAGAGAGUCUACAACAAUCAACAAAGUAAAGUAUUAAACAUCAUUGUUAUUGAAUUGGAGACAACCUAGCAACUUAAAGAAACAAAGAGCUAAGAUCAAAACACUUAAAUGAAAUGCUAAAAUCACAUCUUAAUCAAUAAAAAAUCAAUCAUUAAAAUAGUCGAGAUGAGACAAGCCUAAACAGGACUUGAAUUAUCUGUCCUGUGUUCCAUCCCGUUAUAUAUAAACAGGACGGGACAGACGUUUUAAGAUUUAAAUCCCGUAUUGUCUCGGUAAAUUUCGAGACGGGUUCGAGAUUAUGGUUUUUUAUGCCCACCCCUAAUUUGAAUCGUUGCUUACGCUGAUUAGAAUCAAAUUCUAAUCUAUUCUUGAUAGUCGAAGUAGAAGAAGCGACUUAUGCUUGAAUCGCAGCCGCGUUGAUUAGUCAUAUUUCAAUCCAUUCUUGAUAGCCAAGGUAGAAGAAGCGCUGAACUCCUGAUAUUAUCUCCCAUGACAGAUUAGUAUCCGGGUCUAGCAAACUUCUGAGAAAACCAUGUGAUUUAAAAAAAAUAAAAAAAAUUUGUCACAAACAAUCUAACGGCCCAUGUCUCCGGAAUCUCAACGGCGAACACAGAUUAGUUUGCCAAAACCAUGAUUUUAGACAAAGCAAUAGGUAGAGGGCUAGAGACACAUGAUAAUAAUCACAAUGACCGUGACAAUUCAAAGACACACAUAGCAAAGGAAACGUCAUAUCCCAAAUUCACGUGAUUUGGGUAGACACUAGUGUCACAAUCUCAUAGUAAUAGAAAUACAUGUCUGAUACACACAUAUACGUACAUUACCAACAGUACUGUGUUUUGUUACUAGUUUACUACACCCACCAUAUCCAUGGGGGCGAGUUGUUUAUUUAGUUGCAGAACAAGGUCGGUCUAACAGUAGAACAUAACCUUCUUGACAUUAUCCUUGAGAGCAGGUAAAGGCUUCACAGCAGCAGAACUUGCGGCAAUCGGUGGCCUACGUCCAGUAUACCCUCCACCACGUCCGUUUGUGGUAGCACCACUUGCCACUGAACCGCCUUCUGAGGUCUGUGGUUCCAUGUAGAAACGGGCUCGAAAUGCAGCAAGAUGUGCAUAGUAUGCAGGGGGGACUGUCAAAUUAGCAUUAAACCAAUUUCAGCAUUCACAUUUAUGAAAGAACAAUAAGCAUAAAAUCAAAUUCAGAAUAAGAUAGAGCAUGUGUGCUUUUCACUUGGUCAGUUUCUGUGUGUGCGUGUGUAUAAAUAUAAAUGUGAGAGAUGAGAGAGCGAGAGCUGACCAACAGAAACAGAACGUGUACACCUUGCAUAUCUGCAAAAGUAAUUCGUUCAACAAAAUCAUUAUCCCUUAAAAGAACACAGACAAAAUAUCGGCAUCCUCACAAGGAACCUAACAUGAAAAUGAGGGAUAAUCAUCAAACUUACGUGUAGCAAAGGUUAUUUGUGAGGGUCUGCAAUCCAUCAGCUGAAAAGUUGUUCUCAUCCCAUAGCACAUGGUAAUGAGCUGGACGACUUGUGCCCUGUUUGACACAGUGAUUGCAGAUAUAACAACUCGCAGCUUUGCAAAGUAUAUAAACAGACAACUAAUGAAUCAGUACCUGAAUUCCAGCAUGGCUACACAAGUAGAAGUCAAAUUCAGUUGGAUGACAGAUUUUGGAGUCUACAACUGUACCUGUAAUAUCCAUUGCCAAGUGUUUUAAAUCAUGCAUGCAAAAUUGAAAUCAUUUCAAGAAGUUCCAAAUCUGGCAGAAUGUAAUACCAGGUAAUAUAUUCCCACUUCUGUCAACUGAUCUCGUGUCAUUAUGGUUGUUGGCAAACAACCUAGUAUGAUGGCGCUUUUGAACCACCACAAAGGUCACCGGAGGCUGAUAAUCGGGCUCCAAUGAGGCACAUGCCUGAAUUAAGGUCAAAUAUAUAAGAAUGAGAAAGUGAUUGACUAUAUUUUGUAAUUUCCGUAAUUUCCGGAGAUGAAAAUGAGAAAAGUGAAGAAAUUAAUUAGCCAAGUAGACUUACUUUACGAAUGGCAUCAAGUUCAAAUAGCAAAACUUGAUAAAACUGUCCUUCACUGACACCAUCCCUGCAAAGAAUAAACUUACAAUAAUAUUAGAACCAAAUGGCAAUACAGAAAAAGCUAGUUGAGGCAGAAUAUCAGACAGUACGUCGGUACCUGUAGAAUAUGAUCCGUUGAGGUUUUUGCCCAGUUGAUCUACGGAAAGAUAUGAGCAGUUCCCUGGAUCCAAAAGCAAAUACAGAUGAAACACGAAGCAAGUUUAGUUAAGAAAAAAGAAGGAAAAAAAAUAACAACAACAACAACAAUAAAUCAGAUCCGGAACAACCAAAUAUCCAAAACUAGAAGAGUAGCCAUACUUGAUCAUGCCACCAGACAUUGUCCCUUUUGCUGGAUCCUGCCACGUUUUGAACAAAUCUUGGAUGAGUUCCUGUCGAUGGGUUUGAGCAGAAACUAAACCAGCAUACUUUGUAACUUCAGGCCAAUCUUGAGAAGCCACAACCUGGAUUCAGAUAGUAAUUGUGAAACAGUCAAAAUCCUACCCUGGGUGGAGACAGAAUAGAAUCAUAUGCAAGCUAAAGCAUGUAUGUUUAGUAACACACCGCUGCAAUUGACGGACUUGAAUCCUCUCCAGGAUGAGGAUGGGUGACAUCAGCACCAAAAAUGAUGGUAGGUCGAUCACUUACUAAAGGAAUUCGCCUGGACAGAGCAUCAACAAGCACUGUAUUCCUUCCCCCUACCUUCACGUUGAUCUUCAACGUGACAUUUGCCAAAUAUUGCUGCUUAUUGGUUUUAAAGACAUGCUUUGUUAAACAGCAUUGGGAAACAAGGCCGAGAUCCGUCUCACAAAUGCGUUUCAAAUCACCUGGAUAGUAAAUGAUGAUAUACAUAAGUCCACGGUCCAAUGCUAAAUAACAGAAAUACUUAAAACAGGAGUGGGUAGUAUUUAGUUGAAGGUUCAGACCAUAAAGAGAGCCAUUAUUAUCUGGCAAAAUAGCAAUAAGUAGCUCAAGCUCCUGGCCAAGGGGCUGGAGUUUGGCCAUUGCAUCAUGAUAGCGUGACUUUAGUGUCCUCUCGACAUGACCGGGAUGAGCGGUGAUAGGAGGAAGUACUGGUUCUGGAUUAAAUGCCUAGAAAAGCACGAACAUCAAUAUGAAGAAUCUCAGAUUUGGAAAAGAAUAGAUGAUACAAGAGCAUCAGAGAACACAUACCAUGCCAGAAAUGUUGCACAUUUGAGCAAGUUCACUACAGAACCGACGGGCAACAGCAUCUUGCACACUCCUGGAAAAGUUUAUGCACAUCCAAUUGUUGACUGUGCCACCAUUGACCAUUUUCUGUAACAUUACAAUGAUAGACUGUCAUCAAUAUUCCAAAGGAAAAAGAUAUUGGAUAUUAGCAAAGUUCUAUAACUUAUUGCUAAAACUAAUUGCCCAAUAAUCUAUGGCAGAGCCUUUAACUUUCACUCCCUUUUUCAUCUCCACCCUGCAACCCCAAAACAGGAGAGAAGGAAUUGCAACAAGAAUUGGACUCCCUGCUUAUCUUUAAGCAAGGAAACACAAUCUUCUUCCAACCCACCACUUUCACCUAUCUAUUACACAUUUAAUAUUAAAUUUGUGGUCAGGGCAACUGCAUAAACAGUAAUCCUAACAUCUUCAUCACAGGGAAACAAAAGAAGGCUAGUGUCAACAAGAAUCCCUAGGAUCUUCAGAGCACGGAAAGAGUUGUCAUACAGUAAAAAGUAGAUUAAAGGUUUCACCAUUAAUUGCGUAAAUACCCCUACUGAUACAAAAGUAUAUCCAGAUCAAUAUGUUAUCAUAGUACGAAAGGUGUACAGUACAAGGAAACUAUAAACUCAUGUAUAAGGUAUACCUUAUUCAUCAUAUUCCACUGUCCAACUCGGGGAAGGCAAUCCUUUUCUCUACCUGUAUCAUGAUAUUUAAGCUGCAUAGCACAAAACAAGCUUUUAGUUACCAUCCAUACAGUAAAGUGAACCUUGACGGUACCAAUGUUUGAAAGACAAAUAGAUAGCAGACUGUUAUAGAUAUCUUACCCUUGGUGCGGGAAGGAUACGAGCUUCAAGCAAAGUGAGAUUUUCACUAAUUUUAAUGCCAAACUCCUGAGCAUAAGGGUCUUCAUGGUAAGCAUUUUGGCGAACUGUCUGCAGAGUACAAAUUUUCAACCAACACAUAUUGAGCGGGUAUUAAUUCACAAGUGGGUCGAUGACAACCUCAUGUUGUCAAUUAAAAGAAGAAGAAAACUCUGAACCAUACAUCAAGCAUAACAGAAUGUAAAAUACAAUAUAACUUUCCACAAUACCAAACCUGGAUAAUAUCACGUUCCCUUUCAUGAGGACGCUGGCAAGUCACCUUCAGCAAAGCAGUAAUCUGUCUCUCAUUCAACCUCCUGGAGUACCUCUGCCCUUCAACAAUUUUACAGACCUGCAACAAUGACUUCCUAUUAACAUGCUACUCGAGCUUAUAAUGAUGAAAAGACUAGCAUUUAUUUACCUCCAUGGGCAAAUAAUUUGAUCUUUGCUGAUUUCCCACUUGCAGACACGGCAACUGAGUAUGCUUUAUAGUGAAACCAUAAGUUUCAUGAAAGUAGUCAACAACAUGCUUCAUGGUACCUCUCUCAUCAAGUGGAAAACUGGACAAUCAAGGAGCAGUGUCAGUGGAACAAUUUUUGCAUCCAUCUCAAUAUGAUACAGAUUACUCAACAACAGAUUUCAGGGUAUCUCCACCAAAUGGAAAACACUAAGGGCCCUUUAGGUACUGUUUUGUUUCUUUUCUAUUGAAAUGCAGAAAGAAAAUGACAUAAGAUGACAAUACUCACGUCAGAUCUCUUGUUGGCUGCGACGUUAAUCCGGUUAUACGGUAUUUCCUGCGCAUGUGCCCACGGUGUGUAACUUCAACUUUGAUUCCUCGUAGAGCUUUCUUUAUCUGCUCAUACAUAAACAAAAAGUUGUGAUACUGCUAUCUGUAUGAAUGGAGGGAUAAUCCAAUUCCGAAUUCUACAUAAAAUGUCAUGCCAUUGAAAAGGUAACAUCACAUAUACCUCAUAGUUUGUUACAACAAAGUUGUUAGCCUUUGUCAAUAUUCAUUAAUAGACAUGUCAUCCUAAAGUUGAAAAAAAAAAUGAUUUUAUUCAACAAAAAAAAGAAGUUGAUUUAACACAAUAUAAGCACCACGUGAUAUAAUAAUAUUCUGACUAAAUUCAUAGACAUAAAAUCAGAAACAUUGAAACAAACAAGACCAUGAACAAAAUCUAACCUUCACGCGAUCAGCAUCUGACAAUGGUCUAGAUGAAAUGUCUCGGUCGAGCAGCUGAUUGACAAAUUCAAUGAUUGGCAGGGGCUCGAUGAAAGCAGUUGAUGACAUAUCUGGACCGUCGACAAUUUCGUUAAAGGAGCAAAAAACACCGCAAUGCAGGAACAUAUGCAUGCAUCAUUUGUGCAUCAGUCAUGAUGGUUGCAAAAAUAUGUCAAUUAAAGAAUUUUGAGAAAUAAGGUACCAAUAUUUAGAGACAGCCCCAUCUGCGUUGGACGAAUACUCUGAUAGAAUCCACGCCAACUUUCCAAACCCUCACCAAGUGACUGCCUUCUUCCCAACUCAGGGGAAUAAAAUGAACGUGCUACAGGAAAGUAACUACAAAUAGCAAAUAAUUACAUUAGCACAAGAAUAAAUGAAACUAAUGUGCAAUUAUGAACAAAUAGAAAUCAAGUUUCCAUACCUAGCUGUAGGCAGUUCACGCAGAACAAUGUCGAGAACCUGAAGUGCUUCCUGAGGAGCCUCAGCUUGCCUCCCCAUCAAAAAAAGUUCUAGAUGGUGUAGGUCAGCACGUGCAGCAAACUUGACCACCACUUUGAAUUCUCUCUCCUUCUCCUUCCUGCAGCAAAAAGAGAGAAUUAAUGAUUCGGGUGAGAAGACUGCAUCCAAAAAAGGUAUGUAAGAGUACAAUUUAACAAUGAAUAUCCACCUUUGCCCGCCUGAUCCAUCAUCCUCAUCAGCAAGCAUGAUCUUGAACUCCUUGGACGAGAAAGGAAGCGGCCCAGCAGUAUACAAACUCUUCCGUCCAUCAUAAGCAGGGAGCCGAUUUCCAAGCUCAGAUCGCCUGUACAAAUCCACCAGACGCUUGAUCACGGCGCGAUUCAACCUCCUUGAUGCAAUGUCAGGUGUAAUAGUAACCUAUCAAAUUUAAGCAUCAAAAGAACACACCAUUACAAACACACAUUCCAGACUAACUUCAGACUAUGUCGAAACACAGACACAAAAAAAAAAAACUCACAUCAUAAUGGUGCAAGUCUUUGUCAGGUAACUCGGCGAAAAAGUGAUUAGCCUUGACAAUACAUUUGGCGCCGACGGUGCCUCUCCCAGGGCGAAGAGGGAACUUGACCGACUUACUGGAGGUGGGAAUGGGUUGUUGGAUUGCCUGCACAGGAAGAGGAGCAACUUGUUGCUCAAUCGAAACCUGCCGAAAAGACUGCACCAAUUCCUGAGCAAUAGGCUGAGCUUGAGCCUCAAGGUUGUCCCCACCAGCAACAUAUGUAUCAGCAGAGGUCGCUUGGUGCAGGUCAGAAAUUGAUGCUUUGGCCGGGCCAUAUCCACCGGAAGAAGAUCCUCCAUUACGGCCACGACCGCCGCCGUAACCCCCUCCUCCUCCUCCAUGUGCCCUCCCCCUGCUUCCAUUCUCAGCCGCCGGGGGACCACCAUACUGCUGCUGCUGGUGAUGAUGAUAACCAUUUCCAUUUCCAUUUCCAUUUUUAUUUCCAUAUCCGUUUCCGUUUCCAUUUCCAUAUCCAUAUCCAUUUCCGUUUCCGUUUCCGUUUCCACGGCCGCCACGGCCACCGCCAUAGCCUCCUCCUCCUCCCUGCGGUGGUCCGGUGGGCCUUGCAGCUUGGUGUUGUUGGUAACCUCCUCCUGCUCUUACAUCUUGGCUCUGGUGGUGUUGAUAAGCCUGAUCGCCGACCUCAUGAGAUUCAUAGGUUUCAGCUCCUCCGGCGAGUUGACCUCCUCGCUUCUUCCUCACCAUGAUGAUGAUCUUCAACUAACGCUGGCUCACAGAUCAAAUAAAGGAAACUCAAUAAUGAUUUCUCCUUAUCUAAUUUGAAACAAAACUAACCAAUCGAUUUCCGAAAAAUGAUAGAUAAAAAAGGAAGAGAAUCCAAUGAAGCAAGUACUCACCUGAGCUAUGGAUUGUUGGUUUGGGUUAUGGUUGAGCAGAGAGAGAAUGGUGAUGCAGCAGUAGUAGGGUAUUGGAUUUGAUGUAAGGACUAGUGUAGUACCAAUAACAACAAUGCAGUACCAAGUGGUGGAUGAGAACAACAGAAAUAGUAAAAAUUUAUUACUUGAAAAUAACGGUAUCUUUUGGGUUUCUAUAAUUUUUCUUAAAGCUUAGUGAAACCCCGCAAGCACGCUUAACAAUGGAGGAGGGCUUGGGGUGACUGGUCGGGUAGGUCUCUGAAAAUGACAAGCCACAGUCUUCUCCUUCUUCUUUUCUUAUUUUUCCUUCUUUUUUUUUUUUUUCUUCUCUCUCAGUCUCUCUCUGUGCCUGAGAGAGUACCCAAUAAUUGGAUCCCAACAAAGCUUUCAAAUCCUUGUUUGGUUUCGUUUUGGGUGGCAUUUAUUGGUGCCUCUGAUCAAGAAAGCCUCCAUUUCCAUUUCCAUUUCCAUCCGAAGCUUUUAACCUAGCUAGCACCACGGUUUACAAAUCGGAGCUCAUAAAUAAUGCCCCACUCCCUCAGGAAAUGGGCGCGUCUUCGCCAUUGCACCCUCCCCUGACAUAAAGAGCUUCGGUGUGGAGACGCAUAUUCAAUUCCACGGUUGAUAACCAACACAUUUGGUUGAGAGUUGGUAAGAGGUUAAGUGUGGAACAUAUCAUGUUUAAAUUCGGCCGAUAUUGAUUGAAGUUAUAUCUCAAUUCACUCUUGGUAGUUAAAAGACAGAAACGUUCUGACAUGAUUCACCGUUCUAACCUAUAAAGUUUUUAUGAAAACUGUGUGAUUUCGAUACAAAAUAAAAUUUCCACCGUUAAUGAUAAUUGAAAAUAAAUCUCAUACUACUAUUUGCAUAAAUCGCUAAUGAUAGCUUAAGGAGUUGUAAAUUUUCUUUUAUUCGAACACAUAAUUCUAUGAUUCUCACCCAUCUUGAGAUCUUCCUUUUUUUUUUUUCUUUUUUUCUUUUUUUCUAUUCUUGACUAUGUUUCUCAUUCUUUUUUCUAUACAUCAAAAGAAAAUACAAAUCUACAACACAAAGUUUCUAGUGACUCCAACUUCCUCAGCUGAUCAAAAUGAAAUGUUGCAAUUAUAUAUGCAACAAAUUAGGUUCCCUAUAGCAUAUUUGUAGAAAAGCCACCCAAUAGUAGUUUCUUCACUUUCUCGAGAUCUUUCUGAAAUAGUUGUUUGGUGGUAGAUUUUUUUUCAUAUCAAAAUGGCUAUGUCAUACAUGUAUAUGCAAGUCUCUGUCCAUAUCUACAUGUCACAAGGUGGAAGAAGGGGCAGGUAAUCACUAUAUUUGGUGUGUUCUUAACUUUAAUAGGCAGCAGCCCGAUUAGAUUUGUAAUCAUCGACAUGUAACUCGUCACCAAAAAAUUUGAUUAGCAAUUAUCGCCAUUUCACUCUGUCAAUUAUGAGCUAAUAUUUGUUUUCAUUCACAUUAUUUCACUAUUAAUCCAAGUCAACAUCAUAGAUAAGAAGAAAAAAACAACAAUGAUCAAAUACGUAAUACUAUUGAGGUGGUUGUGUGAUCUGAUUAAAGACUUAAAUUAGUGAAUAAUUCCUUCUAUAUUACAAAAGCAAUUAUCCUACUAUAGUGCAUGUGAGAUGGUUCCUCCUAUUGUCCUAUGUAAGUGAAACAGCUAGAAAAUUAGAAAUUAGAGUUGCAAUAAACUAAUCAUGCAAGAAAGUGAGUAUAGAAAUUACAGUUACAGAGCUCUCAUGGAGCAGUGAGAUUUUAGGUUCACUUUGAACCCAUUGGGGAGACAAUAGCAGAAGAGAUCAUGCUUUUUAUUUUUGUUUCUUAAAGAAGAAGUAAACGGAUGCUUAAAAUACAGCACAGAAUAGAGGGAAUACUUAUACAUUAAUCUAUAUUUAUGUCACUCUUAUCCUAUUAAGCUCCACGUUUAGUUAUUAGUCUGAGAUUAUUAUAUGGGAUAUCAAACAAACCGUACACAGAUGAAGGCAAUGAAGCAACUAACCAUUUACAAGAAUAUUGUCUAGUUCAGUAGCAUUCCACAUUAUUAUUAUAUUGGCAUGAUUGGUUUUUCUACCAUGGAAUUGAAUCUCUCAGCAAAUAGAAGGCUCUCUCAUUUGAAACCCAGGUCAGCAAGCACACAAAAUAGUACUACUACUUUACAGUAAUAUUAUCUUGCAGAAAAAAGAGGCCAACAUCAGUCACGUAUUUGGAAGCUCAUUGGAUUUCAUUAUUUGUCAAAUUUAUGAUCUAUUAUGGCAACCCAUCUGUUUCCCUAUCAAGUCUCAUACAUGAUGAUACGAUAUAAGCAGAUAUGAUUAAAACAGUAUCAAGCACUCACCUAUACAUUCCUGUAUCCAGUGGACUUGGAGAACUUUUGCAUUUUCACAAUGGAUCAUCAAGUCCCUGAGCCAAAUCCCGAAAACUUUGAUGAGUUCCUUCUUGUUGAAUCUUCUCACUUUUUUCAACUGCAAAAGGUAAGUAACAUGUAGACAAGAUGAGAGAAAUGAGCAUUGAUACCUUGUGCAACAAGUUCAACGGAAGUUUAUGCAAAAUCAAAGGGAAUGAAUUUAGGUGUCACAUCCCAAUAUACUACAUGCUAGUAUAGGAAAAGUAAAUUUCUUAGCAUGCUCUGAAGAAAGAAGGCAAAUGAUGCAGUCUAAAGUAAUAAUAAAUUAGGAACAUAAUCUGCAUUCUGCAAAAACUAGAACUUGUACAAUGUAACGGAAGUGCUCAAUCAAUACUAAACAACCUGCCUCAGCACAUAUCAUACAGUUGAAGAGGCAGGGAGGCAGGGAGGCAUUGAAUACACCCAAUGCAUUAUCUUCUUCACCAAAAGUCUGCACAACUACAAUUUCCAUCCCUGAAAUGAUGAAACCGACUCACAUCUCUUAUGCUUAUCUCUCUCUUUGUAACAAGAGAGAUGAACUUUAUAGCAGCAUGGCAAUCACCACAGACCCGCAGAUUUUUAGUAACAAAAAUGGGUUUCCCCUGGCUCAGAUGAAGAAUUCCAUAAGCAAUGGCUAGUUUCUCACUAUGGUAAAGGAGGAUCCUUUCUUUCUCCUCUUCCUCAACAUCUUGGAGAACAAAACUAUUUUCUGCACAAUAUCCCAUCUCUUUCAUGUCUACUAGUAGUUCCUCUAAUUUUUCAUGUAUCUGAGCCGAUUCUGGAUGUGACUGAUCUCCACCGAGAAAUCCAUGAAUCACCCCAUUAAUUUCAACCCAACUACAUCCUGGACUCUUCUUAAGGCCUUGAUCCUUCUGUUUAAUUCUCACAUGCGCUGCGUCAUCCCAUCUCCCAACAGAACUGUACAUAUUAGAUAAGAGGACCAAAUUUCCAGUACCUUCAGAUCCUAGCCCUUGAACUUUCCUGGACACUUCUUCCCCAAGUUCAAUAUCAUUGUGAACCCUACAUGCAGCAAGCAGUGCACUCCAUACUCGAACAUCAGCCUCAAAUGGCAUGUCUUGAAUGAAAUUGUGUGCCUCGGCCAACAGUCCAGUUCGGGCAAGAAGAUCAACCAUGCAUAUGUAGUGUUCCAUCCUUGGGAUUAUGCUGAAAUCUCGAGUCAUAGAACUAAACCAGUGUUUUCCUUCAGUGACAAGCCCCGAAUGGCUGCAAGCAGAUAAGAGGCCAAUGAAAGUUACAUCAUCCGGCUUCAUUCCAGCUGCCUGCAUACUGUGGAACUGUGAAAUUGCUUUUAUCCCAAGGCCAUGAAUCCCAUAACCAACUAUCAUUGCAUUCCAUGAGAUAGUGUCCCGCUUAAGCAUUCUGUCGAAUACUUGCCUGCCUAUAUGGAUCUUCCCACAUUUCGAGUACAUGUCUAUUAAGGCAUUACAUAUUGAGGUGUCAUUAACAAAGCCGCGAACAAUUGAGUAACCAUGGCCACAGGCCCCAUGUUGCAGAGCAGCCAAAUGUGAACAGGCAGGCAAAACACCUGCCAUGGUUGCCAAAUCUGGAUCAAUCCCAGACAACUGCAUCUGGUGGAAUAUAAGCAAAGCUUCCUUUGCAUAACCAUUCUGCACACAGCCUGAAAUGAUAGCACCAUAAGAAACCGUAUCUUUUGGCUCCAUUAUAUCAAAUAACCUGAAUGCAUCAUCUAUAAUCCCACACUUUGCAUACAUAGAAAGGAUGGUGUUGCCCACCAUUGUACUUAAUUCAAAACCGGAUUUAAUUGCAUAACAAUGUACUCGUCUCCCUCCACUCAGAUCAAUCAGCUUUGUGCAAGCUCGGAGUAUGCUUCCUAGAGUAACUCGUGUCACUUUCCUCAUAUCUUUCACCACCAUUUCAUCAAACAAUGACAUUGCCUCCCUCAUGGAGUCACACCCAACAUAUGCACCUAUCAUUGCACUCCAACAAACCUCAUUCCUAACACUCAUUGCAUCAAAUAUUCUCCUCGCGUAAACUAUGCACUGACAUUUCGCAUACAUGUCCAAAAGCGCAGUACUAAGUACCACAUCAUCACUAAACCUCCUCCUCAUAGAGUAACCAUGUAUCGCCUUCCCUUGGCUCAACGCAUUAGCCUGCGCAACAGUAGGAAGAACUGUAACAAUAGUAGAAGCAUUCAGGGCUGUUCCCGCUCCCUGCAUCCUAACAACCAACCUUACAGUGUCAUCAUAAAGACCAUGAAGCGAAAACCCGGCAAUCAUAGCAUUCCACGCCACAACAUCUUUACACAACAUCCCAUCAAACACACUCUCUGCAGCCACCACCUCACCACAUUUCGCAUACAAAUCAAUCAGAGCAGUGCAAACAUAUACGUCAGAGUCGAGCCCGAGUCGUUUCGCGUGUCGAUGAAUAUCCCCACCAACUUGAAGUGCUUGCAAAGCAGAGCAUGCCUUGAGAACAAAAGGGUACGUGUACUUGGUCGGUUCAACACCCGAUUCGAGCAUGGCGUAGUACAACUCAAUGGCUCGUUCAAAGGGUCCAUUCCACGCGUAGGCUCGUAUAAAGAGGUUGCAUAGUAUAGCAUUUGGUUGGGGAAUUUCAUCGAACAGUCGGCGUGCGACGUCGAGUUGAUUACAGGUUAAGUAGAGACGGGCCAGUUUAUCAAGAAGAAGAGACCUCGACUCGAUGUGGGUUUUGGUUUUUAUGAGGUGUUGGUGGAUUGUCUUGGCUUGAGCGAGAGAUUUGGAUCGAAUGCAGGCUUCAAGAAGAUUGAUGUAGUUAGAGGAGUAGGUUUGUGUAGUUGUGGCGCGUAGAGUUGUGAAGUGGUGAAGAAGUUGGCGACGAGUGAGUUGUGUAGCGCACCGUAACAUCUCGUUGUUUUGGCUCCAAUGAAACUAAUGAUUGUAUUUGUAUGUGCAUCUGGCAUUUUUGUUUCAAGAGAUUUGUAAUGCAAUAGAUAUUUUCUUUGAAAGGGAUAGAUAAGAGCUCGUAGAACGAAAAGAUCAUACACGACCUCGUUUGGUCAAGCUAAGAAAUCAAAAUAUCACCUAUUAGUCUAUUACAUUUCAUGCUCAAAUAGUGCACUAACUAUGCAGGUAACAAAAUUGCCCCUACCAAAACCUAGACUGCUACCGCACUUUUUUUCUUUCUUUUUUCUUUUGAUACUAAAAUGAUGGUUGAGUGAGCUAUCAUAUGUUGUUCACCUCUUAUUAUCAGAAGUGUCCUAAAAGCGUUUGCUCCACUUGCAACUUAAUUAACAUGUUUCCAUUAGGCCAAACUCAUUAGGUACUGUUACCGCACUUUGAUCAUAAAAAAGCUACAAAAUUUAACCAUGUAGUAUAUCCGCCAAAGACCCUGAAUGACUUCAUUUUCAAUAAAAUCAAUAAUAAUAAAAAACUUGCGCGAUUCAAUAUGACAAUGUGUAUUCUCCUAAUCUCCUUUGCCCUCAAAUUCUACCAGCAGUAGAGUAUGUGAACUAUUAAUUUGAAGAAUAAUCUGUCGAUUCUUCUAACCCCCAAUAAGUAAACUAAGCAGAUCGAUAUCCUUGAUUUAGAUUUAGUAACAGCUAGUAAAGUAAAAGAAACGAGCAGGACAAAAAAUGAAGCUUGCUAGCUACUGGUACAUAUAUAUUCUGAAAAGGUGAACCGGGAGAUGUCAAAGAAGAACCUUUCUUUUUCCGAGCACUUUAGCAAAAUAGCAACCAAUUAGCAAGAUCUGGUAGAAAUCACUGUAAGCUAAAGACAUGAAAGGGAUAAAAGUGGAGGCCUGGAAAAACAAAAGCGAAACCAUGGGCAUGCCUAGGACCAAAGUAAGAUAGCUUGAAGAAUUUGCUGAGUAAUUAUUAGGUAUGAAAGUAAGAAAGCGAUCGAGAGCUAUCUACCUCAAAUAUAUAUUCCUGGGUCAAUCAUAUCAUUCUUUAACUAACCAUAUUGGAUAGGUUAUGUCAACAUAAAUAGUUGGAUGUAAUUUGUAUUUGUUCUCAAAUUUACUUAUAUUAAUUAAUCAUGAAAUAUAUAGUUCAUGAUCGUUGGAUAUGAAUGUAGUAAGAAGAACGUUUGUCUAGAAUCUGGAAAAGCUAAAGUGAGUGGCCGGGAUGAGGAGGAGUGAGGAAGAAAGACCCAAAGACAAGGGACUUUGAAUCCUUUUGUUUCAUUGUUUGUGUAUAUAAAUGCAUAACAAUCACCACAGCCAGCACAUAUAACAGUACUAUUGCAACUAUCUAGCUAGCCAGCUCUUGAUCCAACAAGGGGUGGCCGGCGGGUGCAGCAAGUUAGUACGUGUAUAUAGGAAACAGUAACACUACUUAAAGCGCGCAUUAUCCACUGAUCAAGGCAUCAGGCGAUACGAACAUGGCUCCGGUGGGAUUACCUCCCGGAUUUAGGUUCCAUCCGACGGACGAAGAGCUUGUGAAUUACUAUCUGAAGAGAAAGAUAAUUGGGCAAGAGAUUGAGCUUGAUAUCAUUCCUGAAGUUGAUCUCUACAAAUGUGAGCCUUGGGAAUUAGCAGGUCUAGCUUAUUACCUUAUAUAUGGCCUCUUCUAUAUGUUGAUUACGUCCACAUCUUAACCUUUCUCACUACUAACUAGCUAGCUAGUAUAUACAUUUUACCAAUUAUAUGCAGAAGUAUCAAAAAUCUGUGAUUAUGUACGUAGCUGCUGACGAUGUUGUUUCUAAAUUGAUCGAAAACGAAUGCAGAGAAGUCAUUUUUGCCGAGUAGAGACCCGGAGUGGUACUUUUUUGGACCCCGAGACCGGAAAUACCCAAAUGGAUUCAGAACAAACAGAGCAACGAGAGCUGGAUACUGGAAAUCCACUGGUAAAGACAGGAGAGUGUCAUCCCAGAAUCGAGCCAUCGGAAUGAAGAAGACGCUGGUUUACUACAGAGGCCGAGCACCUCAGGGCAUUCGAACCGAUUGGGUCAUGCAUGAGUAUCGCCUCGAUGACAAGGCCGACUGCCUCGACGACACCUCCGCCGGCAUUCAGGUACGUUCAUGAACUCUCUCCAUGCCAUUAGCUUUCAUUGCUGCAUCCAUCAAAUUACUUGACCUACACACGAUUCAUGUUUUAUUUGACUUGAAAAGCAUCAAGUUCGAAGCUACGUAGCUUGAGCAAGUGAGAAAAGCAUUUCUUUCUCUACUGCUUUCGUUUCUAAUUUCCACCUCGAUCUUUUUACAGCGUGGGACGCAAAAGCAGGUUAAACUAAGCUUACUAUCCCAAUCAACUAAUCUGUAUAUCCAUUAAUCAACUUGGAUAGAUCAGGAAUGGAAUCUAAUAUAUAUGUGCGGUAACAAGGAAUGAAAUUCCUAUCCAGGAACGUAAAACUUGCAUGAGUUGCAUGGAAUAUAUAGUAGGGCCUCGUCCUGAUAUUACAUUUUUCUUAGUUCACUUACUAUGUCUACUGUAUCGAUCUAUUAUUUACAAGAGGGCAUAAACAAAUAUUCGUUGCUUGCACCGGUGGUGAUCUCUUCAAUAUUACCUGCUGCAAAGUUGAGUUUAGCUAAUGAGACAAAAGUACAAUCGUCCGUAUGAUUCAGAUUAACCCCUUCUCAAGCUUCUUAAUUGUUUGUUUAAAAGAAGAAUAUAUGAAUCACCCGACAUGUAUCCACCGUCUUUCAACCUGUCAUUGUAUAUAUGAUCAUGAUUUGGAGGUUCUGUGACUAAAACUAAUGUAGAUUAUUCAGACCACGAAAAGCAAAGCAGCCUCUUAUCCUCUUCUGCAUCACUCUCCACUUUCAUUGCGUAAGAAGGUGUCGGUGACUUUUCACUUUAUUCCAAAGUCCAAAAACAUAACCAUAUUUCAUAUAGCUUCAACUGUAUUACAUGGAUUAAGACAUACACACCAAUUUAUUAUUGAUUACCCUUUUAGGAAAUUAAUCUUGCAUUUGGCUUCCAACGUAUAACGUACAUAUAUAUCUCUAUUUCUGUUGAUGAUCGAUCACUAAACGAAUGCAGGAUUCUUUUGCAUUGUGUCGCGUGUUCAAGAAAAAUGGAAUUUGUACUGAAAUUGAAGAGCAAGGAGGGCAAAGUAGCAGCAGUGAUGUAUCGCUAUUGAUUCAUGAAAGAUCAUCACAAUUAUUAGCAGCAGGAGGUCUACAUUAUAACGAUCACUGUAGUACUGAAACAUUGUCACCAGAAAAUAUUAUUCCGAGGGCAUCGUCGUCCUCAUGUCUCCAGGACUUGGAGGAAGAAGAGAAGGACGACUCGUGGAUGCAGUUCAUCACAGAUGAUCCAUGGUCUUCUUCUAACAUUCCUCCAGUUAAUGGUACUACUGGUGAAGUCGACCUCUCUCAGUCUCAUGUGGGUGUGGCCUUCACAACAUAAUCGUUCAGUAUUCAAAGACGACUGCAUUUACAGAUAUUGCUGGUGAUUGGUGGUAAAUAACACUUCCCUACAAUAAAAUGAAACAUACUCCUUUCAAAAAAAAUACACAUUAACUAUUUUCAAUUGGUUUGGUUUGGUUGGUGGUUUCUUUGGACUCAAAUGAAUCACAUGUGUAGUCUAGAGAUUUUGAUGUUCACCUCUUUCUCCUGAGGUGCUUGCUUUGGGUGUUACUAGUGGAAUAAAAGCACAUAUCAUUGCAUGUAAUCGUUUACUCAACAAUCUAUGCUCAUUACUCAACAAUUUAAGUCAGCAAUUGCAUUUAUGGUGAACUCUUUAUGCAUAAUUGCGUAUCACUAAUCUCAAUGUUUAAUUUUAACCCAACUAAGUAAGGCAGAGAGAGACCAUCAAUUCGAGUUUGCGACAAACACGUUAUCCUGUACACUUUCAGCCAGCAAUGAUUGCUUGGCCAACCUUCCACUGCUCAAAUUCUGCGGAGCCUAACAUGAAAGAACUGGCAUUUCUAUGUCCACCGCCUCCAAAUUCCUGAGAAUGAAUUGCAAAAUGCAUUAGUUACCGUUCAACACUAACAUACAAGUUAAUGUUUCUAAGUAUCAUACAUGCUACAUGCCCUAUUUAAGAGGCUAAAGGGCAAAGCAAUGUGCUAGAUGAUGUAAAAACCUGCGAGAUACGAGUUGUGUCUUCACUGUCCACACUCCUGAGGCUUAUCUUCAGCAAUUCGUCAUUUUCAAGUUCAGGGACUUUGUAUACAACAGCUCCAAUACCCCUACAGAUCAUUUCAAACAAAAAUAAUGAUAAGCGAAAUGGAAGGAAGGGUGCUGAAGCAGACACCUAUAAUAUACAUAAUCAAACAAGUUGGUGAUUUUCCACAAAGGAACAAUUUAACCCAAAAUCAACAAAAAAAAGAAAGGGGUUGAUGCAAAGGGGGAAACUUACACCGGGCCAACCAAAAUCAAGUAAAUGAACAAUGCUUUUGCAGUGGAAAAGCUCAGGAUAUAGAGAAGAAAACAAUACCCCGUAAGACUAACAAAAGACCAUGAAUAUAUGGACCUCUCGUAACUGGGCUAUAGUCUAACUUGUAGUUUGCCGUUUUGGGGUUCAUGUCAUACAUGGUCACGAUCUUAGUAUGACUUUUAUCAUCUGAGAACCGUAGUCUUAGUUUAGCAUUGUAUCUCUUUAGUAUUGUCCUUAAUCUACCUAGAAAUUUCUGAAUAGAAAGUUUGCUUCUCUACAGAGAGGUUUUGUAGACUUCAAAAGUUCAACUUUGACCAGAAAGAACACUAAUGCAGAUUGUGAGAUUUCUAAAUUCCUAACUUACUCUUAGUAUAGUUUGAUUCAAAACCUAUUCAAUUAUUGUCCAUUCAAUAUAUAUCGGAAGAAAGGAUAGUCUACUGCAAUUGUAAGAGCAAACAAGCCAAUAAAAGUAACCGACAAUUGCCUCAUAUACAGGAUAUAUUUGGCUCCAGUUACUUGUGGCUUAUAGUUUCCAGCAUUCAACAUUGUUGAGCAUUAGAGAACUACAGAGUGCUGCAGAUCAACAAAAUCAGCAGCACUUAUAGGUGCCACAGCAUCAAUGGUAAAAAAGGGGACAAAAUGAAACAGGCUAGGAAGGUCUAAGGAAAAAAGUAAACAAAAUCCGAGAAAAACAUUCACACAUAUGAAAUUCAUAAGUAUAUAGCCACAUAACAUACCUCAAGUUGAGACUGCGGCUUUUAGUAGCCAACUGAUGUCCGAGUUCACUCCUCAACUCUGAUAUAGAAUCUGCAUUCACAGCCUACAAGCAAAAGUAUAACAUUAUGCUCUCUAAACCAAUUUCUCAUCUCUUCUCUACAUCGUAAGUAACUGCAAAUCUGCAAUGGAGUAAGAAUUAGAAGCAUAUACACAUUUGCAACAUUCGGCAAGUCUAAUAGUUCCCAUCUUUCAUAAUGUACCAAGUAAUGCACAACUGAAAAACAUAAGAAACAUCUAAACCAAUUUACCAGGCAAUGACCAAAAGCUCCACCUCCAAGCUUAAUCUCAUAAGACUGACUCAGAGCCUCCUCUAUCAAUUUCUGCUUCUCUGACAAGCUCACCAUUCCCUGACUAAUCAAACACUCCAAGUCCAACGAAAGCAGCUGCCCAACAAUCACAUUAUCAUAAGUUUCGCAACAAGUAACUCCCUUAACACUCACAUUGUAACAGAGCAAACCAAAAACUACCUGCUGAAACAGAGCCGGGUUCAAACCGACGUCGUACUGCAAGUUCAAAUCUUUAAACCCGCUACUAAAAGCCUUACUAUCCGGAAGCCUCCACCGCCACAAAUCCCCAUCCUCAAUAUACUCAAACACCCUCCUAACGCCGUCAAACCUCGCCGUCUCGCCGCCGUCGACGUCAACCUUCCCCCUGAAAUAAUCAAAAGCAAUUGUAGCACCGCUCCUCUUCAUAUCCAAAACACUCGUCACAUUCACCCCGCCGACUCUCCCCACCGCCGUCUUGUGGUGGUCCAAAACGACGACGUUGGGUACCUUCAAAGAGACCUCCUGGACAAACCCAGGUGGGCCCACGAAGUCGAGGAGGUAGAGCUCGUCGAUGUCGGAAAGCGGGAGGCUUUGCGCCGUGACGGGGCUGUAGACGGCGUUAGGGAAGAAGAAGGGUUGGAUUGACUUGGAAGAGAAGUAGAGAUGCGCCGCGAGUGCGGCGAACGCGCCGUCCGGGCAUGGAUAGUGGUACAGCACCGCCGGUCUUCUCAUCUCAGACUCAAAGCAACGAUCUUUUUUACUUUUUUCACCUUCAGAUGGAGCAAGUGAUAUAAAGGAGGGAUUUUUUUUUUUACAGUUUGAGUAAAAUAGUAAAAAGAAACAAGACUAAAACCCUGAAAGGAUAACACUUCGGUCAUUCAGGUGAGAAAUGGCGACGAGCUUUGUGCUGAGAAGUGCUCCGAAGGCUUGGGUCGAUAGAAACAGAGAGACCCAGUUUGCAGAGCAGAAAGUGGGGUCUGUGAAUUGUGGUUGGCAAUGGCGGCCGUGCCUUAGUUAUAGGGUUUCGUUUUGUAUUGCACAGAAAAAGAGGAGCUUUGUACCAUUGGCGAGUUCUUCUUCUUCGUCUGCUUCGUUUUCUCCGAAGACCAAGCUCUACGUUAGUGGUGAGCUUUCUUUUUUUUCUUAAAAGAUUGAAAUUUGUGUUGGUGAUAUGUAUGAUUGAGUGGUUGUUUGUUGUUCAUAAUGAAAUGGAAUUGCAACUUUAGUCUUGUUGGUUCAGCAAAUUAACCCCUAAAGAUGAAGCUUUGUGCGAUUUUAUAUGUAUGGAAAGCACAAUACUUGAGUUGGUUUAUAGGCAUUGAUGGACAUUUUGUGCAUCUGGGUUGAGGGUUUAGCCAGCAUUCACUUGUGUUUGAUCAGAAAGGUUAAACCAAGAUUGUGACAAACUAUAACGCUACUGGUUGGUGUGCUUUUUGAUGCAGGGCUUUCGUUUCGUACCACUGAAGAAAGUUUGCGAAAUGCUUUCCAAAAUUUUGGACGACUUGUAGAAGGUGAGAAGAGCCAAUGUGUUCCUUUACAUUAGUUCAGUUGUGCUGCUUAUAAGGGUCUGCUGCUGUAAGUUGUUGUUCUACAGGAGUUAAGUAUUGGGGUUCUUAUGCUCUUGAGAAAAAUUUCCCUUAAAUGUUGCAGUCAAUCUGGUGAUGGAUAGGAUAGCAAAUAGGCCAAGAGGAUUUGCAUUCCUCCGCUACGAAACCGAGGAGGAAUCUCAAAAGGCUAUCAAGGGAAUGCAUGGAAAGGUAAAUCUAAAUUCUAAAACCAUCAACAAUAAGUAAGAAGGAAUAGUAAUAUUGGCUAAUAUAAGAAUACAACUCUGUAUGUGUAUGUAACACUGCUUUGACUAGUGGUUGCAUUUUAAGAGGAAAGGUCCUUCUGGUUGAGGCUGUUCAAAGGGAAAAAAGAAUUCCUAAUGCAUACCUGCCUGAUGACAAAGCUGGCUUGCUUGACAAUCUAUUUCUAGUUAAUGUAUGUAUGUGCCUGUGUGGUGAUUAUACAUGGUCCAAAUUUGUUCAGCUCAGUUGUUAUGACUCAAAUAGAUGUCGUGCUUCUUCGUCUGUUCUAAAAGAAAAUAUUUAAAAGAAUAAAACCAUAAAUUAGAGGUACUGUACUAGGGCCUUAAAACUGUUUUCAAGGCUGUAAUACACUGUUGGACCACCAGGUCAUUGAAUAUGAGCUAACAUCAAUGACAUGUUAACAUUGAAAUCUUGCCCUGCUCUGAUGGGAUAUGUCUUCAUCAUUGCUUAGGCUGCCCUGACUGUUAUGUGGUUAAGAGAUUGCCGUUAGUAUCUUGAUGUCAGGGAGGAUCACUCCUGGGACUAGUCUUAUUGCCUGAACAGUUUGACAUGGUUUGAAUUGGAAAUCUUUCAUAUUUAACAUUUUGAUCUAGUCUUUCACACCUUCUCUCCGUAGUCAUAUUCGUUGAUGUUUGUGUCCUUUUUUACUUUAGAAGGGGUGGGUAGUGAUAACUUCCAGAUUUCCAUCGAGGCUUCAAAUGCUCUGAUUCCUAACCUUCAGUAGCACAGAGAUUAUCAAUAGCUAUCUCAUUAUCACAUGUGAUGGUUAAUCACUGGGACAUUAUGUAAUAUGCACUUUACUGAGGUUAAAGAGCUUUUCAGAUUUCAUUAGGAAGAGCAUGUUUUCACUUUAGGCUACUGGAACCAUCCUUUAGCUAGGAUGCAGCAGUCUGCUUCAGGCCUCACAAAUGUUCUGAUUUCGACCAUGACACCUUUUUUACAUACAACAGAGUGAACUGAAGUAUUCUCAUAUUGAUGCUCAUGUAUUUUCUAUACGGAGUGGCUUUAAGCAACCAAAACAAAGAGUAACCUUUUUUCUCUGUUUUAUUGUCUCUACAGUUUUUGGAUGGCAGAGUAAUAUUUGUUGAAGAGGCAAAGCCCAGAUCAGAGCUACGUCAAACCCCCAGACAAAACCCACGACAGUAUUAAAGUUUAGUGUAGUGUCCACUUUUGGCUAAGUUCUGCUAGCACACACCAACUGGUAAGAUACCAGAAAUGGUAUGCUUCGGAUUUGCAGUUCAGUCAGAAAAGCGUGUAAGAUUAUUCUUUUGUAUGCUGAUAACUCUUUGUAUAUUGACUACCUGAAACUAUAAAUGGCACAAUUCAGUUUUGCAACUACAUCUGUUCUGAAAGUGUAACGGUUGAAUUCUUCAGUCACUCGCCCAGUCCAAGUGUACUGAGUUUACAGUUCGAUUACACAAUAUGGCCACUGGAAUCCAAUCAUUCAAUAUUCUUGAAAGAAUGUAAAGAAUGAAUCCGUGAAGAGAGAUACAACUAAUGUGAGACUUCAGUGAACGGAUAGAACCGAUUUCUGCGCGAACCGAUUCCUGAUCUUGCUAAGUCAUUAUUCUCAGACUACUUAUUCCCUCUGGUUACAAUCAAUCAAUAUACGCCUUUCAAGAUGGGAAGAAACAAAGAAAGAAAAACUGAACAUUUGUUUUACUACAAAAAUUAUGAGCAGACACGAGCCCUUUGUCUGUCCCUUUUCUCUUCAGAUACUAUCACUGAGGAGUUCCUGUUUGUGUCUGCUAAACAUCUUUUGUAUGGUACAAACCCCUUCCUUGAAUUGCAGGGCUCAACACUACGAGGUUCUUCACAUACAGAAUCAAUUGAAGUAACUAAACCAUCAUUUGAACCAGCGCAAGAUCUUUCAUUCUGCUUCGAUAGUUCAUCAACACGGGAAUCGACGCAUACAACCUGACAAAAUGGUAGACUAACCCACCAAGGCAAGGGAGGAGGAGCAUCCGAGUUGGCUGGCACAGACUUGGGGCUCCCGUCUUGUUGUCCCACCCUGUUUAUUGUCAAACCACAUGCCAAAGAAUUCCAAUUACAAUCUAAUCCACCAAGUGACAAGCGCGUGUCCGAUCGAUCCCAUUGUAAUGGUUCACCACACUUACCACUCUCACUCUCAUGAUUCUCUUGUUUGGCCAUGUAUAUCGACGAAGUACAAUCCUUGGUACCAGAAGAAGAUUGUUUAUGCAGGUCGGACACCAAAACUGUCCUUCCAAAAAGCUUAAUGCUCAUGGAAGCUCCCACUCUGCCUGCAUCUCCUUCAGUAGUUGAAGUGCACCCGGAAGCCGAUGCAUCUUUCUGGACCUACAUAACAACACAAAUAUGACCAGUCAGAAUCCCAAAAACCACAGGAAUAAAAAGAUUGAAAAAUAAAGAAGAAGGGAAUCAAGUGUUUGCCAUACCACAGAAAGAGGUUUGUCCAAGGUUGAGUCCACAUGUGGCAUAGUUUCUUUUGCUUCUUCAGUGGAUGGGCUGGAUGUCGCAUAGUCAUUCUCCUUUUCAACAUGGGAUAAGUUGGCUGAUCGCAUGUCAGUGGUACAUGAUGUUGAAGGUCGAGAUCUGUUAUAUUGCUCCAAAGCUGGAGACCCGAUUAUAUCAGAACCAGGUACAGACAAUACUGAAGUGGGGGAUUCUUGGCCUUUCUCAGCAACUGAAAAAUUUGGGGACGGUGACCUCCUUUCUGGUGAUCCAUUAUGUUUACGUGGAUAAGGAUGCAUAGGCUUCCGCUUAGGUCGCGGAGGAGGUAUUUCAAUUGGUUUGAGGGAGCCUUCACCAGUUCCAGGCAACUCCUUAGCUACCUACAGUAUUGUAAGAGACAUGUUAACUAACGGUAUGGAAUCUCAAAUGCACAAGUCAAAAGUUUCAAGGUCAUUUGUACAUGGUAGGUAAUAGGAGAAUUAGGUCCUAAAAUAAAAGGCAGUAAACCUUAGAGAAGAACUUCUGAGCAUGACUUCGUAUCUGAACUGCAGUUUUGGUUCCUACAUGUUCUGUAUGUAGAUAAUAUAACUUCAGCAGCAGAUAGGUAAAAGAAAAUUAGACUAGACUAGUUUUGCUGCACUGAAUCUACCUUCUAUUUGACGCCAACCUCGGCCAUACAAUUUCAAGGCUUCAAGAAACUUUUGGUGUUCUUCCUCCGUCCAUUUUUCUCUUUGUUUUGUAAUGGUGUAAGGUUUCCUGACCUGUGUAGAACCAGGGAAAAGUGUUCAGUCAAACAUCAGAAAAUGCAUAAAUUUUGAAACUAAAAAACUCUCCUGAAAUGAAAUCUCAGCAAUGGGAAGAAAGGAACCUUAAGUGCCUGAUCAUUGCCAAAUGACGAAAAGUCCUGGAGUUCAGUCACCAAUUUCGAUUGAGCAUCCCCUUUUGGGCUGCAAUUGCCAACCGCAAGAGAGGCGUUUGAUCCCGUGGCUUCACUCUGAUCCUAUGUUCAAAUAAAAAGUUGGGUUGAUACUUUUCAUCCAACACAGUGAAACCCAGUGAAGAACUGGUGUUCAUAAGUACACAAUUCAGUUCUGAUGCAAAAUAAUCCUGCAGGAACUUAUAUGAGAUGACUAGCCAACCAAACACAAGCAUUUCUCACUUAACUUAAACAAUCAGGGACAAAACAUAAACAGAUUCAACAACGAAUAAACUAACUGCUGCUAAAUCUAACUGUGUAUGAAUCCAUGGCAUCUAUCUAACAUGCAUCAAAUCAUCCUAAAAACAUGGUCAAAGUCGAAACUUGAAUCAUAGAUAGAAACUAAGAUAAACCUUGCGUGUCGGCAGUGAGAAUUAAAACAGUAACGGCUCAUUAACAACAGCUCGAAAUCAAAGUGAAUAAAUAGAGAAAACAGAAAAAGCGUAAAUCAAGCGAUUGAAUAUACACACCUCUAGAAAAGCCAUCUCUCUCUCUCUGUCCAGAAAAAAACACAGCAAACACGUCACUCCAAAGCCUCAAGUCACCACACCUGUGAAUCCAAAACAAAGCUUCCAUUAAUUGGUGGGAAAUGGAAAAACAACAAUAAAUAAACAAAACGAAAAAGGAAACUUUCCCUUUUCAUUUCUUUGUAUCCAUUUUUGGAAGGUUUAGGUUUAUCUAAGACCAGAUCAAUCAGAAACCUACCUCAACAACGUUACAAACUGAAAACAGAUAAAAGACUUUGCUGUGUCCUGGCUUGGUUGAGUAGUCGCCGGCAAACUGAGACAGCUCAGCUUCUCCCAAACCGAAUCCGAUUCCGGGCUAGAGAGAAGAUCGGAGAAAGCAGAAGAGUAGAGAGAAUGAAUCCAAAUCCGAAUGAGAGAGAGAUUGAAGAGGAAGAGUAGAGAAGAAGGGGGAGAUGGAAUAUCAGGAGGGUUAUAAAGAAAGAGAAAGUAAAAGGAGGGGCGCCACGUCAGAGCGUAUUAUUUAAAUUUCGAAUUUAUGUUUAAUUUUUAUUGGGUUUGGCUUGGAAAAAUCGAGAAGCGACUCAAGGAGCUUGUGGCUGAGAACGCAAGACACCCGGCACUUUCUGGUAGAGUGUCUCACUCCUUUUUCGCCUUUUUCUCUCUCCUCCUCCUCUGCCGAUUUUUAUUAAUAAAUCCAACACCACUGUGGAUAAUUAUUCAAUUUUAUUUUUGUGGAAGAUAAUAAUACUCUAGUGGAUAAGGGUGGAGUAGGAAGAGGAGGCUAUUUACUAUUUUUAGAAUUUUUCUUUUUCUUCAGUUAUGAAAUGUACUAUUACACUGAAAUGGUGGGAUAGAUUUUUGGUCAAUUACAUAGAAGUUUAUUUUGAGAUAUUUUAUCCUAUAUGGGCCCAUCCAAAUAGUUUUACCCACAUAAGUCCACUCAAGCCUAAAUACUGUCUUAUAUUUGGUAUUAAAGUUCAACAAAAUUACAGACUGCCAUCCAACAAAAAAAAUUAGAUUUUCUCUCAUAUAUUUACAAAAAUACCACUAAUGUAAAAAGUCAACAACCAUAAAAAGUCUUCAGCUGACCUCCGGCGAGCUCUCCGACCGAUCUCUGGUGAACUUUCCGGCCGACCAUCAGUGAGGAUUCUGGCGACCACAAAAGUUACUACCACCGAUAACAAAAGCUACUACAGCCAGCAAAGAAAGCUACUACCACUGACAACAAAAGAUACUACCAGCAUCAACAAAAACUACUGCCACCAGGAAAGAAAGCUACUACCACUGACAACAAAAGAUAAUACUGCUAGCAACAAAAGGUACUACCGACAACAAAGAAAGCUACUACCACUGACAACGAAAGAUACUACAAUCAUCAACUAAAACUACUACCGCUACAACAAAAAAUACUACGUACAACCAGCAACCAAAGCUACUACCACCAACAACGAAAACUAUUUCACCAACAAUGAAAACUACUACCGCCGACAACAAAAACUACUACCGCCGAUAAGCAAAGCUACUAUCUCCAUAAACAAAAGCUACCGCUAGCAAUAAAAGUUACUACGACCAGAAACAAAAACUACUACCACCGAUAAUAAAAGCUACUACAGCCAGCAACAAAAGCUACUACCACUGACAACAAAAGAUACUACCAACAUCAACAAAAGCUACUGCCACCAGCAAAGAAAGCUACUACCACUGACAAUAAAAGAUACUACCGCUAGCAACAAAAGGUACUACCGACAACAAAGAAAGCUACUACCAAUGACAACGAAAGAUACUACCAUCAUCAACAAAAAUUACUACAGCUACAACAAAAAAUACUACGUACUACCAGCAACCAAAGCUACUACCACCAACAACGAAAACUAUUUCACCAACAACAAAAACUACUACCGUCGACAACAAAAACUACUACCGCCGAUAAGCAAAGCUACUACCUCCAUAAACAAAAGCUACCACUAGCAAUAAAAGUUACUACAACCAGAAACAAAAACUACUACCACAAAAGAAAAUAAAAAACAGUUAAUGCAACCAACAACAAAAACUACUACCGCCAUCAACGAAAGCUACUAACUAGCGUAAUAAAAGCUAUUACCAAAUAAUACAAAAUUUACUCGAACGUGACAAAAAUAUACUAUCAGUGUCAUAAAUAUACUAUCACAAGGUGAAAAACAUACUGUCACUUUGUUGAAUAUAUACUACAAAGUAAUAUAAAAGCUGCUCAAUCUUUUUGGCUCAUAUAUUAGUCACUAAUCACUGCAUCAUGUACAUUAAAGCUUCAUAACUCUACAAAACCAAGACAAAGCAACAACAACCUACAAUAAAAACUACUACCACUAUCAACAAAAAUUAAUAACGCCAAGCCAAACAAUAACUACUGUCAUCGACAACAAAAUCUACUACCAAACAAAACAAAAUCUACUGUCAUAGGUUGAGAAAGAUACUAGCAUAGAAAUUGAAAAAAAUACUACGAUUAUUUAUACAAUACUAUGAUUGUGUUGAAAAGAUACUAAUCCAGACAUUAAAAAUACUAUCACUGUGUUCAAAAUAUACUAACAUAGAAUUGGAAAAUGUUUUGGCAGGGUUGCCAUUAACUCCAGCAAACAAAGUGCAAAAACAUAAAUUUGUGAUUCCGUCUUCGUCGAAGUCGCCUUCUCCGCAGCAACCGGCGCUUCCUUCACCACCAUAUCGAAACUCUCGUUCCACGGAUCCUCCACCACUAUAGAUCGACUUCAAAUCGGAGAUUGACGUCGGAGAGAGACGUAUGAUCAAGUUAGCAUCCUAAAAUCCACAAAACAGAAAUAAGAAAAUCACCGAUCGAGUUAACAGCAACGUCGACCAAAUAUGAGAUUGUAGCGAAUUCAAACCUUGAGUGAGGAGGAAGGACGAAGAUGGAGCAGAGAUCGCAGGCCUUGUUGAUCUUCAUCUUCAUUUCGCUCCGAAUCAGCGAGUUCUAGGUUUGAGAGGUGCAGCCGAAGAUUUAUCUGAAACGAAGGUGAAUCCACCGAGCGCCUCUCCGGCACGAAGUCCGCCGCUAGGGAAACGCCGUCAACCGAUUCCGGAUGAAGUUGGUGAAGCCGAUCUACGACACCGUCGAUUAGGAUACAUGCUGGAGUCGUCGUCGUUCAUCUAGGUUGUCAUCAAUGGCGUCAGCAACGAAGGAGUCGAGAUUGGUGGGGAGAGAGAGAGAGAGAGAGAGAGAGAGAGAGAGAGAGAGAGAGAGAGAGAGAGAGAGAGAGAGAGAGAGAGAGAGAGAGAGAGNNNNNNNNNNNNNNNNNNNNGAGAGAGAGAGAGAGAUUUCGUAGAGGCAGAGAAGAUGGGUAUGAAGUUGAAAUGUUAGGGUAUGAAGUGGGGUUGAGGGUAGUUUAGGUAUCAGAGAAAAAAUUAGCUGAUAAGUGUGGGUUUAAAAUGGACUUGUAUAAGUAAAAAUGUUAGAGUGGACUUAUGAAGGAGAAAAUAUUGAAAAAGGGACUUGUGUGAAAUUUUCUAUAGAUUUUUAGGUCUACUUUGCGAUAUAUAUCUCUUCUUCUGCAUUUUUUAUUUUUAAAUAUAUCAACGGUUAGUAUGGGAUAUUUAUAAGCAAUUAUUUAGGUUUUAGUUUUGUGUUUGGAGAGAGAGCAACAUGAAUUUCUACUGUGUCUGUUGAUCUAAAAAAAAUUUAAUAGUUACUCGUAUAAAUUAUGUAAAAAUAUAAUUUACAG